UUUGCAGAUUCGCACACAUUGGAAUUUCGCUAACUCCUCCGAAGGCUUUCGUUCCACCGGCACCACAUUUGCUCAGGCCAAUCUACACCCCAUGGCCAUUAAAAGUUAUUCAAAUCAUGACGCUGCACCCCACGGUUUAGGUUCUAGGGGGCGCCAAAGAUAACCCUAAAAUCCACAUAUUUAAAAGUCUUAUAACUUUUUAUUUUUGUCCUCACUGGCCUCCAUGUUUUCUAGGAUGAUGCAAUGUCCAGCCAUCAACACAUUUGUGAAGGAGUUUUUUCUCGUUAAAAGAGCGCCCCCCCCCAUGGCAGGAGAAUAAAGUCAAGUUUUUCCUGUUCAUCAUUCAAUGGCUCAAACGCACUGCUCUCUCGGCAAAAGCGAAAGGAGGAGCAACUUGCCAUUUGGAUAUAUCUUAGCUGUGUUUGUGCCCUCACUCAUGGUCCAGACUUUUUUCAAAUAGGACAUGGAGUUUUUCUGCAGCGAACGUUUUGGUAGAAACUGCGCCUCCCGUUCAUUAUAAUGGUAAAUGACCACAAACAAGUGCGCACACCAUCUUUGGACCUUGAGUGUGACGCGAUCGGGUGGGGGAGGCGGUCGCGCUUGGGGCGGCGUGACACGGCUCGGGCCCGCCAGUGCCCCAACGGGGCCCUAGUUCUUUCUUUCUUUCUUCUUUUUCCUCCCCUUUGAACUGGAAAAUGGCCCACUUCCCACUGGCGAAAACUCAUGAAAUUUGGCAGGACGACCGGGCCUGGUGAAAAAUUCGAUAUUCUGAAGUCGCCCAAACAAUAAAAUGCAAAAUGGCUCCAUAGCGCCCCCUAAGGUGGAAAUUCACACUAUUGACUGUCACGCCUGUACGCUUUGUCAUAUUGACACAAAAAUUGACACACAUAUGUAUCUCAAUAAGAUCUACAAAAAAGUCAGUGCAGCCGUAUCUGUCAAAAUUACGGUUAAAGGGUUAUUUCGCAUUUUUUGCAGAUCCGCACACAUUGGAAUUUCGCUAACUCCUCCGAAGGCUUUCGUUCCACCGGCACCACAUUUGCUCAGGCCAAUCUACACCCCGUGGCCAUUAAAAGUUAUCAAAAUCAUGACGCUGCACCCCAAGGUUUAGGUCCUAGGGGGCGCCAAAGAUAACACUAAAAUCCACAUAUUUAAAAGUCUUAUAACUUUUUAUUUUUGUCCUCACUGGCCUCCAAGUUUUCUAGGAUGAUGCAAUGUCCAGCCAUCAACACAUUUGUGAAGGAAUUUUUACUCCCCAAAAGAGCGCCCCCCCAUGGCAGAAGAAAAAAGUCCAUUUUUUCUUGUCCCCUAAGGUGAAAAUACACAUUGUUGAGUGUCACGCCUAUACGCUUUGUCAAAAUGACACAAAAAUUGACACACACAUGUAACUCAAUAAGAUCUACGAAAAAGUCAAUGCGCGCGUAUCUGUCAAAUGUACGGUUAAAGGGUUAUUCCGCAUUUUUUGCCGAUCCGCACACAUUGGAAUGUGGCUAACUCCUCCGAAGGCUUUCGUUCCACCGGCACCACAUUUGCUCAGGCCAAUCUACACCCCAUGGCCAUUAAAAGUUAUUCAAAUCAUGAAGCUGCACCCCACGGUUUAGGUUCUAGGGGGCGCCAAAAAUAACCCUAAAAUCCACAUAUUUAAAAGUCUUAUAACUUUUUAUUUUUGUCCUCACUGGCCUCCAAGUUUUCUAGGAUGAUGCAAUGUCCAGCCAUCAACACAUUUGUGAAGGAAUUUUUACUCCCCAAAAGAGCGCCCCCCCAUGGCAGGAGAAAAAAGUCCAUUUUUUCUUGUCCCCUAAGGUGAAAAUACACAUUGUUGAGUGUCACGCCUGUAUGCUUUGGCAAAAUGACACAAAAAUUGACACACACAUGUAUCUCAAUAAGAUCUACAAAAAAGUCUAUGCGCGCGUAUCUGUCAAAUGUACGGUUAAAGGGUUAUUCCGCAUUUUUUGGCCAAUACGCACACAUUGGAAUUUCGCUAACUCCUCCGAAGGCUUUCGUUCCACCGGCACCACAUUUGCUCAGGCCAAUCUACACCCCAUGGCCAUUAAAAGUUAUUCAAAUUAUGAUGCUGCACCCCACGGUCUAGGUUCUAGGGGGCGCCAAAUAUAACCCUAAAAUCCACAUAUUUAAAAGUCUUAUAACUUUUUAUUUUUGUCCUCACUGGCCUCCAAGUUUUCUAGGAUGAUGCAAUGUCCAGCCAUCAACACAUUUGUGAAGGAAUUUUUACUCCCCAAAAGAGCGCCCCCCCAUGGCAGGAGAAAAAAGUCAUUUUUUUCUUGUCCCCUAAGGUGAAAAUUCACAUUGUUGAGUGUGACACCUGUACGCUUUGUCAAAAUGACACAAAAAUUGACACACACAUGUAUCUCAAUAAGAUCUACGAAAAAGGAGGAGGAGCAACCUGCCAUUUGGAUAUAUCCUAGCUGUGUUUGUGCCCUCACUCAUGGUCCAGACUUUUUUCAAAUAGGACAUGUAGUUUGUCUGCAGUGAGUGUUUUGGUAGAAACUGCGCCUCCCAUUCAUUAUAAUGAUAAAUGACCACAGACAAGUGCGCACACCAUCUUUGGACCUUGAGUGUGACGCGAUCGGGAGGGGGAGGCGGUCGCGCUGGGGGCGGCGCGACGCGGCUCGGGCCCGACAGUGCCCCACCGGGGCCCUAGUUAUUUUUCCUCCCCUUUAAACUGGAAAAUGGCCCACUUCCCACUGGCGAAAACUCAGGAAAUUUGGCAGGACGACCGGGCCUGGUGAAAAAUUCGAUAUUCUGAAGUCGCCCAAACAAUACAAUGCAAAAUGGCUCCAUAGCGCCCCCUAAGGUGAAAAAUUCACCUGACGCCUGUACGCUUUGUCAAAAUUACACAAAAAUUGACACACACAUGUAUCUCAAUAAGAUCUACAAAAAAGUCAGUGCAGGCGUAUCUGUCAAAUGUACGGUUAAAGGGUUAUUGCGCAUUUUUUGCCGAUCCGCACACAUUGGAAUUUCGCUAACUCCUCCGAAGGCUUUCGUUCCACCGGCACCACAUUUGCUCAGGCCAAUCUACACCCCAUGGCCAUUAAAAGUUAUUCAAAUCAUGACGCUGCACCCCACGGUUUAGGUUCUAGGGGGCGCCAAAGAUAACCCUAAAAUCCACAUAUUUAAAAGUCUUAUAACUUUUUAUUUUUGCCCUCACUGGCCUCCAAGUUUUCUAGGAUGAUGCAAUGUCCAGCCAUCAACACAUUUGUGAAGGAAUUUUUACUCCCCAAAAGAGCGCCCCCCCAUGGCAGGAGAAAAAAGUCCAUUUUUUCUUGUCCCAUAAGGUGAAAAUUCACACUAUUGACUGUCACGCCUGUACGCUUUGUCAAAAUUACACAAAAAUUGACACACACAUGUAUCUCAAUAAGAUCUACAAAAAAGUCAGUGCGGGCGUAUCUGUCAAAUGUACGGUUAAAGGGUUAUUGCGCAUUUUUUGCCGAUCCGCACACAUUGGAAUUUCGCUAACUCCUCCGAAGGCUUUCGUUCCACCGGCACCACAUUUGCUCAGGCCAAUCUACACCCCAUGGCCAUUAAAAGUUAUUCAAAUCAUGACGCUGCACCCCACGGUUUAGGUUCUAGGGGGCGCCAAAGAUAACCCUAAAAUCCACAUAUUUAAAAGUCUUAUAACUUUUUAUUUUUGUCCUCUCUGGCCUCCAAGUUUUCUAGGAUGAUGCAAUGUCCAGCCAUCAACACAUUUGUGAAGGAAUUUUUACUCCCCAAAAGAGCGCCCCCCCAUGGCAGGAGAAAAAAGUCCAUUUUUUCUUGUCCCAUAAGGUGAAAAUACACAUUGUUGACUGUCAUACCUGUAUGCUUUGUCAUAUUGACACAAAAUUUGACACACACAUGUAUCUCAAUAAGAUCUACGAAAAAGUCAAUGCGCGCGUAUCUGUAAAAUGUACGGUUAAAGGGCUAUUUUGCAUUUUUUGCCGAUUAGCACACAUUGGAAUGUGGCUAACUCCUCCUAAGGCUUUCGUCCCACCAACACCAAAUUUGCUCAAGCCGAUCUACAUCCCAUGGCCAUUCAAAGUUGUAGAAAUCAUGACGCUGCUCCCCACGGUUUACGUUCUAGGGGGCGCCAAAGAUGACCCAAAUAUCCACAUUCUUAAAAGAAUCCACAUCGCCCCCCCCCCAAGGCAGGAGAAAAAGUCAAGUUAACCCUGCCCAUCGGUCAAUGGCUCAAUCGCAUCGCUCUCCCAGCAACACCGUAAGGAGGAGCAACUUGCCAUUUGGAUAUAUCCUAGCUGUGUUUGUGCCCUCACUCAUGGUCCAGACUUUUUUCAAAUAGGACAUGUAGUUUGUCUGCAGCGAGUGUUUUGGUAGAAACUGCGCCUCCCAUUCAUUAUAAUGGGAAAUGACCACAGACAAGUGCGCACACCAUCUUUGGACCUUGAGUGUGACGCGAUCGGGAGGGGGAGGCGGUCGCGCUGGGGGCGGCGCGACGCGGCUCGGGCCCGACAGUGCCCCACCGGGGCCCUAGUUCUUUCUUUCUUUCUUCUUUUUCCUCCCCUUUGAACUGGAAAAUGGCCCACUUCCCACUGGCGAAAACUCAUGAAAUUUGGCAGGACGACCGGGCCUGGUGAAAAAUUCGAUAUUCUGAAGUCGCCCAAACAAUAAAAUGCAAAAUGGCUCCAUAGCGCCCCCUAAGGUGGAAAUUCACACUAUUGACUGUCACGCCUGUACGCUUUGUCAUAUUGACACAAAAAUUGACACACAUAUGUAUCUCAAUAAGAUCUACAAAAAAGUCAGUGCGGCCGUAUCUGUCAAAUGUACGGUUAAAGGGUUAUUUCGCAUUUUUUUCCGAUCCGCACACAUUGGAAUUUCGCUAACUCCUCCGAAGGCUUUCGUUCCACCGGCACCACAUUUGCUCAGGCCAAUCUACACCCCGUGGCCAUUAAAAGUUAUCAAAAUCAUGACGCUGCACCCCAAGGUUUAGGUUCUAGGGGGCGCCAAAGAUAACACUAAAAUCCACAUAUUUAAAAGUCUUAUAACUUUUUAUUUUUGUCCUCACUGGCCUCCAAGUUUUCUAGGAUGAUGCAAUGUCCAGCCAUCAACACAUUUGUGAAGGAAUUUUUACUCCCCAAAAGAGCGCCCCCCCAUGGCAGGAGAAAAAAGUCCAUUUUUUCUUGUCCCCUAAGGUGAAAAUACACAUUGUUGAGUGUCACGCCUAUACGCUUUGUCAAAUUGACACAAAAAUUGACACACACAUGUAUCUCAAUAAGAUCUACGAAAAAGUCAAUGCGCGCGUAUCUGUCAAAUGUACGGUUAAAGGGUUAUUCCGCAUUUUUUGCCGAUUCGCACACAUUGGAAUGUGGCUAACUCCUCCUAAGGCUUUCGUUCCACCGGCACCACAUUUGCUCAGGCCAAUCUACACCCCAUGGCCAUUAAAAUUUAUCAAAAUCAUGACGCUGCACCCCACGGUUUAGGUUCUAGGGGGCGCCAAAGAUAACCCUAAAAUCCACAUAUUUAAAAGUCUUAUAACUUUUUAUUUUUGUCCUCACUGGCCUCCAAGUUUUCUAGGAUGAUGCAAUGUCCAGCCAUCAACACAUUUGUGAAGGAAUUUUUACUCCCCAAAAGAGCGCCCCCCCAUGGCAGGAGAAAAAAGUCCAUUUUUUCUUGUCCCUUAAGGUGAAAAUACAUAUUGUUGAGAUUCACGCCUAUACGCUUUGUCAUAUUGACACAAAAUUUGACAAUCACGUGCCUUGCCUGGUAUCAUUUUUUUCAGCACAACCUCACCUGUGCGAAUUUACAGUUAUUUUAUCAUGUUGACAUACUGAAUUUACACAAUGGACCCAAAUUCACACACAAAACAUAAAAUCCGAGUGGAAAAAAGUAACAUUUUUACUGUGAAAACCACAAAUAUGUGUGAUGAACUGUUUUCAAAACUUAAACUUCAAAUAAAAAUUGUAAACUUCAAAACAUAUGCAAAUUUUUAACAAAGAACAUAGUGAUUUACCUCUAUUUACAUCAAAAUGCAGGCAAUGGCCCAGGCGUUCUUUGUAAAAUUAUUUACAAAACACUGUAUAGUCUCACAAAUGUCACUUUUUAUUUAUGCCACUACAAAAAAACAUGAUGUAAAUGAUGCAUGAUGUAAAACAUGAUGUAAAAAACUUGUGUAGAUCCUCCUCUAUGUCAGUCCAUGUGUAAUUUUUCCAUAAUUCUUUGUUUUUUGCAGCAUUUUUGUUAGUGUAACUGCAGAUUGUGCUGACAGUGUCUAUGGCACAAAAAAAAAAAAUUAAAAUGCCUCAACAUGAACCCCUGGUGGUCUCUGAGGGUGAAACCUGCUAACUGCUGCAGCUCUGUCAGCUUCAGUCUCCCAUGCAGAGCUCUGAGCGCAUGUGUGGCUCUGCACCCUUAGCAGCGUUGCUAACUCCUCAGUAAGGAAAGCCUGCUUCAUGUCAGAGUCUCUAAACUCCAGAAGAAGUCGAUAAAAGUCCCUUUCUUUCUAAAAAAAAGUCGUUAGGGGGUCUGAAAAGUCAUUGAAUCUAACAACAAAGUCGCUAGGUUUGCAACUACGUGUCCCAGACUGCAUCCCUGCUGAGAGUCCCUCCCUCCCUUCUCAUGUUGCAGGAAGAACGUAAGCGCCCGCCCCUUGUCAAUCAGUCACCAUAUAAUUUUGGAUUGGUUGUUGUGGUGAAGUUUUCCACCAAUAGGAGAGAUGUUGUGGUGUGUUUUUUUUUUCUUUUGGCAAGCCUUUUCCGCCUGUAAGACCUGUCGCUAAUGUCUGCAUGCUAUGUUUUCCUGUCUCAUACAGCGCGAUCGAGCGCCGAACGUGAUCAAAAUAAGCAGAAAAAAAGUAUCGCGGACAUAAUUUAUCAUAACUCUGGUUUUAUUUGGCCUAUCAACACAAUUUAAAAACUGGUAUAUAGGUUGAGGUCCUCACUUUUGAAAUAAGUUGAAACGGAGAGUCAACGAGGCUCCGUCUUGCAGCUACAUCCGGUUAAAUAUGUCAUGUGACUUGAACGCACACACAGACACACACACACGCACACACACACACACACACACACACACACACACACACACACUCAGAGUCUGGUUUUUAGCACCUGCAAAAACAUGCUAUUUACAUAUUUGACAAGAAUGCAGAGGCUCCUUUUGCCCCUGAAAAAAAUCAAAUUUCAAACACAACUUGACUGGUCAUUUCUCCAAAAGACAACCAUGAAGCUCCAUCCAAACCUGAAGCAGGCAGUUGGUGCAUGUGUACAGUAACCUGAGGGGAGUGAGGUGAGUGCUUCUGAGGAGAACAUGAGCAGUGAAGAUUCACCUUGGAGCUAGAACAGAGACAUGCACAUGAUUAUACAGGGGCAGGGGCUCAAGUUUUUUCCAGUCGUUUAUACAAUAUGGAAAUUAAUGUGAAAUUAAAACACAAAGUAUUAAUAGAAAGGUAAUGACUGUCCUGUGUAGGUGACAGUGAUAUCGAAUAGGCUAGGCACUCACGAGGCUGGCUGUGGCAAGUGUAAGUGAAAGCAACACGCACUGGCAGGAAGAACAGCAAACGCCGAUGAAGGAAAAGGGUCUUUGCAGUGAUGGGCGUUACCAGAGAGGGCGAUGGCCAGAGGACACAAAUGGGACGGGGAGGCAGCACGUUGGGGGGGGGGCGACACGGCUCGGGCCCGCCAGUGCCCCAACGGGGUCCUAGUUAGGGCCCGAGCGUAGCUGCUAAGCAGCUGCGAGAGCCCUCUUGUUCCUGAUGGAUUCUUCUUUUGUUAUUAUUAUUAUUUUUCCUCCGCUUUAAACUGGAAAAUUGCCCACUUCCCACUGGCGAAAACUCAUGAAAUUUGGCAGGACGACCGGGCCUGGUGAAAAAUUCGAUAUUCUGAAGUCGCCCAAACAAGAAAAUGCAAAAUGGCUCCAUAGCGCCCCCUAAGGUGAAAAUUCACACUAUUGACUGUCACGCCUGUACGCUUUGUCAUAUUGACACAAAAAUUGACACACACAUGUAUCUCAAUAAGGUCUACAAAAAAGUCAGUGCGGGCGUAUCUGUCAAAUGUACGGUUAAAGGGUUAUUUCGCAUUUUUUGCCGUUCCGCACACAUUGGAAUUUCGCUAACUCCUCCGAAGGCUUUCGUUCCACCGGCACUACAUUUGCUCAGGCCAAUCUACACCCCAUGGCCAUUCAAAGUUGUACAAAUCAUGAUGCUGCACCCCACGGUUUACGUUCUAGGGGGCGCCAAAGAUAACCCACAAAUCCACAUUCUUAAAAAUCUUAUAACUUUAUUUUUGUCCUCAUUGGCCUCCAAGUUUUCUAGGAUGAUGCAAUGUCCAGCCAUCAACACAUUUGUGAAGGAAUUUUUACUCCCCAAAACAGCGCCCCCCCCCCCAUGGCAGGACAAACAAGGCCAUUUUUUCUUGUCCCCUAAGGUGAAAAUACACAUUGUUCAGUGUCACGCCUAUACGCUUUGUCAUAUUGACACAAAAUUUGACACACACGUGUAUCUCAAUAAGAUCUACGAAAAAGUCAAUGGGCACAUAUCUGUCAAAUGUACGGUUAAAGGGUUAUUUCGCAUUUUUUGCCGUUCCGCACACAUUGGAAUUUCGCUAACUCCUCCGAAGGCUUUCGUUCCACCGGCACUACAUUUGCUCAGGCCAAUCUACACCCCAUGGCCAUUCAAAGUUGUACAAAUCAUGACGCUGCACCCCACGGUUUACGUUCUAGGGGGCGCCAAAGAUAACCCACAAAUCCACAUUCUUAAAAAUCUUAUAACUUUUUAUUUUUGUCCUCAUUGGCCUCCAAGUUUUCUAGGAUGAUGCAAUGUCCAGCCAUCAACACAUUUGUGAAGGAAUUUUUACUCCCCAAAACAGCGCCCCCCCCAUGGCAGGACAAACAAGGCCAUUUUUUCUUGUCCCCUAAGGUGAAAAUACACAUUGUUCAGUGUCACGCCUAUACGCUUUGUCAUAUUGACACAAAAUUUGACACACACGUGUAUCUCAAUAAGAUCUACGAAAAAGUCAAUGGGCACAUAUCUGUAAAAUGUACGGUUAAAGGGCUAUCUUGCAUUUUUUGCCGAUUCGCACACAUUGGAAUGUGGCUAACUCCUCCUAAGGCUUUCGUUCUACUGACACCAAAUUUGCUCAGGCCAAUCUACACCCCAUGGCCAUUCAAAGUUGUACAAAUCAUGACGCUGCACCCCACGGUUUAGGUUCUAGGGGGCGCCAAAGAUGACCCAAAUAUCCACAUUUUUAAAAGUCUUAUAACUUUUUAUUUUUGUCCUCACUGGCCUCCAAGUUUUCUAGGAUGAUGCAAUGUGCAGCCAUCAACACAUCUGUGAAGGAAUUUUUUCUCCCCAAAAGAGCGCCCCCCCCCCCCCCCCAUGGCAGGAGAAAAAGUCAAGUUUUUCCAGCCCAUCGCUUAAUGGCUCAAACGCAUUGCUCUCCCGCUAAAACCAAAAGGAGGAGCAACUUGCCAUUUGGAUAUGUCCUAGCUGUGUUUGUGCCCUCACUCAUGGUCCAGAGUUUUUUCAAAUAGGACAUGUAGUUUGUCUGCAGCGAGUGUUUUGGUAGAAACUGUGCCUCCCAUUCAUUAUAAUGGGAAAUGACCAAAGACAGGUGCGCACACCAUCUUUGGACCUUGACUUUGACGUCACAGUUUGAGAUACAAAUGUAAUCUGACCUCUGACCUUUGGUGGACACCCUAACCUUUCAACCCGCGAAAACGGCGUUUCAAUAGCUCUUACGGCUUUCCUACAAAUACACUUUGUUCAGCUACUCCUACUGUCCUUUAAGCUCUGCUUCUCAGAUCAUCAAAGAGUGUGCACGUGUGUAAUGAGCGCAUAUUGAAUGUUAAUUAUGUUAAAUAUGUUAAUUAUUAGAAGAAAAAACAACAACAGUCCUUUUGGACAAAAUUUCUUUUUAUUACAGAAUUAGAAUAAUGGAAGCAUACUCCAAGGAAACCAUUCAAGUGAUGUCAUACCUCAUAAUUUAUUGAGAUGUUGGCUAGUCUGGGCAUUUCUUCAUUCAUCAGGUUUCCUGCAUGCAUACUAACAGAGCACAUCAGUAGCAGUGAGUGAUAAGUAUGAGUGUGUCAUUGUGUAAGAAAGAAAGUGGUUUACUUACACAUCCAUAGAAAAUAGGUGGUUGAGCACAGCACGCAAACAAAGCUUUGCCACAACGGUUGAACUUCCCAAGUAGCUGAUACCAAGGUCACACAAUCAUGGUGAGCAAAGGUCAAACCAGGCCAGGCACUCACGAGGCUGGCUGUGGCAAGUGUAAGUGAAAGCAACACGCAAUGGCAGGAAGAACAGCAAACACCGAUGAAGGAAAAGGGUCUUUGCAGUGAUGGGCGUCACCAGAGAGGGCGAUGGCCAGAGGGCACGAAUGGGACGGGGAGGCGGUCGCGCUGGGGGCGGCGCGACGCGGCUCGGGCCCGCCAGUGCCCCAACGGGGCCCUAGUUAGGGCCCGAGCGUAGCUGCUAAGCAGCUGCGAGAGCCCUCUUGUUCCUGAUGGAUUCUUCUUUCGUUAUUUUUCCUCCGCUUUAAACUGGAAAAUGGCCCACUUCCCACUGGCGAAAACUCAGGAAAUUUGGCAGGACGACCGGGCCUGGUGAAAAAUUUGAUAUUCUGAAGUCGCCCAAACAAAAAAAUAAAAAAUGGCUCCAUAGCGCCCCCUAUGGUGAAAACUCACCUGACGCCUGUACGCUUUGUCAAAAUGACACAAAAUUUGACACACAUGUGUAUCUCAAUAAGAUCUACAAAAAAGUCAGUGCGGGCGUAUCUGUCAAAUGUACGGUUAAAGGGCUAUUUCGCAUUUUUUGCCGAUCCGCACACAUUGGAAUGUGGCUAACUCCUCCGAAGGCUUUCGUUCCACCGGCACCAAAUUUGCUCAGGCCAAUCUACACCCCAUGGCCAUUAAAAGUUGUACAAAUCAUGACGCUGCACCCCACGGUUUAUGUUCUAGGGGGCGCCAAAGAUAACCCAAAAAUCCACAUUCUUAAAAGUCUUAUAACUUUUUAUUUUUGUCCUCACUGGCCUCCAAGUUUUCUAGGAUGAUGCUAUGUCCAGCCAUCAACACAUGUGUGAAGGAAUUUUUACUCCCCAAAAGAGCGCCCCCCCAUGGCAGGAGAAAAAAGUCAAGUUUUUCUUGUCCCCUAACAUGAAAAUACACAUUGUUGAGUGUCACGCCUAAACGCUUUGUCAUAUUGACACAAAAAUUGACACACACGUGUAUCUCAAUAAGAUCUACGAAAAAGUCAAAGAGCGCGUAUCUGUAUAAUGUACGGUUAAAGGUUUAUUUCGCAUUUUUUGCCGAUCCGCACACAUUGGAAUGUGGCUAACUCCUCCGAAGGCUUUCGUUCCACCGGCACCAAAUUUGCUCAGGCCAAUCUACACCCCAUGGCCAUUAAAAGUUGUAAAAAUCAUGACGCUGCACCCCACGGUUUAGGUUCUAGGGGGCGCCAAAGAUAACCCUAAAAUCCAAAUAUUUAAAAGUCUUAUAACUUUUUAUUUUUGUCCUCACUGGCCUCCAAGUUUUCUAGGAUGAUGCAAUGUCCAGCCAUCAACACAUUUGUGAAGGAAUUUUUACUCCCCAAAAGAGCGCCCCCCCCAUGGCAGGAGAAAAAAGUCAAUUUUUUCUUGUCCCCUAAGGUGAAAAUACACAUUGUUGAGUGUCACGCCUGAACUCUUUGUCAUAUUGACACAAAAAUUGACAAUCAUGUGUAUCUCAAUUAGAUCUACGAAAAAGUCAAAGAGCGCGUAUCUGUAUAAUGUACGGUAAAAGGGCUAUUUUGCAUUUUUUGCCGAUUCGCACACAUUGGAAUUUCGCUAACUCCUCCGAAGGCUUUCGUCCCACUGACACCAUAGUUGCUCAGGCCAAUCUACAACCCAUGGCCAUUAAAAGUUGUACAAAUCAUGACGCUGCACCCCACGGUUUAGGUUCUAGGGGGCGCCAAAGAUAACCCAAAAAUCCACAGUCUUAAAAGUCUUAUAACUUUUUAUUUUUGUCCUCACUGGCCUCCAAGUUCUCUAGGAUGAUGCAAUGUCCAGCCAUCAACACAUUUGUGAAGGAAUUUUUACUCCCCAAAAGAGCGCCCCCCCAUGGCAGGAGAAAAAAGUCCAUUUUUUCUUGUCCCCUAAGGCGAAAAUACACAUUGUUGAAUGUCACGCCUAUACGCUUUGUCAUAUUGACACAAAAUUUGACAAUCACGUGCCUUGCCUGGUAUCAUUUUUUUUCAGCACAACCUCACCUGUGCGAAUUUACAGUUAUUUUAUCAUGUUGACAUACUGAAUUUACACAAUGGACCCAAAUUCACACACAAAACAUAAAAUCCGAGUGGAAAAAAGUAACAUUUUUACUGUGAAAACCACAAAUAUGUGUGAUGAACUGUUUUUAAAACUUAAACUUCAAAUAAAAAUUGUAAACUUCAAAACAUAUGCAAAUUUUUAACAAAGAACAUAGUGAUUUACCUCUAUUUACAUCAAAAUGCAGGCAAUGGCCCAGGCGUUCUUUGUAAAAUUAUUUACAAAACACUGUAUAGUCUCACAAAUGUCACUUUUUAUUUAUGCCACUACAAAAAAACAUGAUGUAAAUGAUGCAUGAUGUAAAACAUGAUGUAAAAAACUUGUGUAGAUCCUCCUCUAUGUCAGUCCAUGUGUAAUUUUUCCAUAAUUCUUUGUUUUUUGCAGCAUUUUUGUUAGUGUAACUGCAGAUUGUGCUGACAGUGUCUAUGGCACAAAAAAAAAAAAAAAUUAAAAUGCCUCAACAUGAACCCCUGGUGGUCUCUGAGGGUGAAACCUGCUAACUGCUGCAGCUCUGUCAGCUUCAGUCUCCCAUGCAGAGCUCUGAGCGCAUGUGUGGCUCUGCACCCUUAGCAGCGUUGCUAACUCCUCAGUAAGGAAAGCCUGCUUCAUGUCAGAGUCUCUAAACUCCAGAAGAAGUCGAUAAAAGUCCCUUUCUUUCUAAAAAAAAGUCGUUAGGGGGUCUGAAAAGUCAUUGAAUCUAACAACAAAGUCGCUAGGUUUGCAACUACGUGUCCCAGACUGCAUCCCUGCUGAGAGUCCCUCCCUCCCUUCUCAUGUUGCAGGAAGAACGUAAGCGCCCGCCCCUUGUCAAUCAGUCACCAUAUAAUUUUGGAUUGGUUGUUGUGGUGAAGUUUUCCACCAAUAGGAGAGAUGUUGUGGUGUGUUUUUUUUUUUCUUUUGGCAAACCUUUUCCGCCUGUAAGACCUGUCGCUAAUGUCUGCAUGCUAUGUUUUCCUGUCUCAUACAGCGCGAUCGAGCGCCGAACGUGAUCAAAAUAAGCAGAAAAAAAGUAUCGCGGACAUAAUUUAUCAUAACUCUGGUUUUAUUUGGCCUAUCAACACAAUUUAAAAACUGGUAUAUAGGUUGAGGUCCUCACUUUUGAGAUAAGUUGAAACGGAGAGUCAACGAGGCUCCGUCUUGCAGCUACAUCCGGUUAAAUAUGUCAUGUGACUUGAACGCACACACAGACACACACACACAGACACACACGCACACACACACACACACACACUCAGAGUCUGGUUUUUAGCACCUGCAAAAACAUGCUAUUUACAUAUUUGACAACAAUGCAGAGGCUCCUUUUGCUACUGAAAAAAAUCAAAUUUCAAACACAACUUGACUGGUCAUUUCUCCAAAAGACAACCAUGAAGCUCCAUCCAAACCUGAAGCAGGCAGUUGGUGCAUGUGUACAGUAACCUGAGGGGAGUGAGGUGAGUGCUUCUGAGGAGAACAUGAGCAGUGAAGAUUCACCUUAGAGCUAGAACAGAGACCUGCACAUGAUUAUACAGGGGCAGGGGCUCAAGUUUUUUCCAGUUGUUUAUACAAUAUGGAAAUUAAUGUGAAAUUAAAAAACAAAGUAUUAAUAGAAAGGUAAUGACUGUCCUGUGUAGGUGACAGUGAUAUCCAAUAGGCUAGGCACUCACGAGGCUGGCUGUGGCAAGUGUAAGUGAAAGCAACACGCACUGGCAGGAAGAACAGCAAACGCCGAUGAAGGAAAAGGGUCUUUGCAGUGAUGGGCGUUACCAGAGAGGGCGAUGGCCAGAGGACACAAAUGGGACGGGGAGGCAGCGCGUUGGGGGGGGACGCGACACAGCUCGGGCCCGCCAGUGCCCCAACGGGGUCCUAGUUAGGGCCCGAGCGUAGCUGCUAAGCAGCUGCGAGAGCCCUAUUAUUCCCCAAGUGGUUUUUCUUUGUUUCUUUCUUUCUUUCUUUCUUUCUUUCUUAGGGCCCGAGCGUAGCUGCUAAGCAGCUGCGAGAGCCCUCUUGUUCCUGAUGGAUUCUUCUUUUGUUAUUAGGGCCCGAGCGUAACUGCUAAGCAGCUGCGAGAGCCCUCUUGUUCCUGCAUGUUUCCUUCUUUCGUUAGGGCCCGAGCCAGCUGCAGAGCAGCCGGGCGUAGGCCCUAUUAUUCCCCAAGUGGUUUUUCUUUGUUUCUUACUUUCUUUUUUCUUUUUCCUCCCCUUUGAACUGGAAAAUGGCCCACUUCCCACUGGCGAAAACUCAUGAAAUUUGGCAGGACGACCGGGCCUGGUGAAAAAUUUGAUAUUCUGAAGUCGCCAAAACAAUAAAAUGCAAAAUGGCUCCAUAGCGCCCCCUAAGGUGAAAAUUCACACUAUUCACUGUCACGGCUGUACGCUUUGUCAUAUUGACACAAAAAUUGACACACACAUGUAUCUCAAUAAGAUCUACAAAAAAGUCAGUGCGGGCGUAUCUGUCAAAUGUACGGUUAAUGGGUUAUUUUGCAUUUUUUGCAGAUCUGCACACAUUGGAAUUUCGCUAACUCCUCCGAAGGCUUUCGUUCCACCGGCACCACAUUUGCUCAGGCCAAUCUACACCCCAUGGCCAUUAAAAGUUAUUCAAAUCAUGACGCUGCACCCCACGGUUUAGGUUCUAGGGGGCGCCAAAGAUAACCCUAAAAUCCACAUAUUUAAAAAUCUUAUAACUUUUUAUUUUUGUCCUCAUUGGCCUCCAAGUUUUCUAGGAUGAUGCAAUGUCCAGCCAUCAACACAUCUGUGAAGGAAUUUUUACUCCCCAAAAGAGCGCCCCCCCAUGGCAGGAGAAAAAAGUCCAUUUUUUCUUGACCCCUAAGGUGAAAAUACACAUUGUUGACUGUCACGCCUUUACGCUUUGGCAAAAUGACACAAAAAUUGACACACACAUGUAUCUCAAUAAGAUCUACAAAAAAGUCUAUGAGCGCGUAUCUGUCAAAUGUACGGUUAAAGGGUUAUUCCGCAUUUUUUGCCGAUCCGCACACAUUGGAAUGUGGCUAACUCCUCCUAAGGCUUUCGUUCCACCGGCAACACAUUUGCUCAGGCCAAUCUACACCCCAUGGCCAUUAAAAGUUAUCAAAAUCAUGACGCUGCACCCCACGGUUUAGGUUCUAGGGGGCGCCAAAGAUAACCCUAAAAUCCACAUAUUUAAAAGUCUUGUAACUUUUUAUUUUUGUCCUCACUGGCCUCCAAGUUUUCUAGGAUGAUGCAAUGUCCAGCCAUCAACACAUUUGUGAAGGAAUUUUUACUCCCCAAAAGAGCGCCCCCCCAUGGCAGGAGAAAAAAGUCAAUUUUUUCUUGUCCCCUAAGGUGAAAAUACAUAUUGUUGAGAUUCACGCCUAUACGCUUUGUCAUAUUGACACAAAAUUUGACAAUCACGUGCCUUGCCUGGUAUCAUUUUUUUCAGCACAACCUCACCUGUGCGAAUUUACAGUUAUUUUAUCAUGUUGACAUACUGAAUUUACACAAUGGACCCAAAUUCACACACAAAACAUAAAAUCCGAGUGGAAAAAAGUAACAUUUUUACUGUGAAAACCACAAAUAUGUGUGAUGAACUGUUUUUAAAACUUAAACUUCAAAUAAAAAUUGUAAACUUCAAAACAUAUGCAAAUUUUUAACAAAGAACAUAGUGAUUUACCUCUAUUUACAUCAAAAUGCAGGCAAUGGCCCAGGCGUUCUUUGUAAAAUUAUUUACAAAACACUGUAUAGUCUCACAAAUGUCACUUUUUAUUUAUGCCACUACAAAAAAACAUGAUGUAAAUGAUGCAUGAUGUAAAACAUGAUGUAAAAAACUAGAUCCUCCUCUAUGUCAGUCCAUGUGUAAUUUUUCCAUAAUUCUUUGUUUUUUGCAGCAUUUUUGUUAGUGUAACUGCAGAUUGUGCUGACAGUGUCUAUGGCACAAAAAAAAAAAAAAUUAAAAUGCCUCAACAUGAACCCCUGGUGGUCUCUGAGGGUGAAACCUGCUAACUGCUGCAGCUCUGUCAGCUUCAGUCUCCCAUGCAGAGCUCUGAGCGCAUGUGUGGCUCUGCACCCUUAGCAGCGUUGCUAACUCCUCAGUAAGGAAAGCCUGCUUCAUGUCAGAGUCUCUAAACUCCAGAAGAAGUCGAUAAAAGUCCCUUUCUUUCUAAAAAAAAAGUCGUUAGGGGGUCUGAAAAGUCAUUGAAUCUAACAACAAAGUCGCUAGGUUUGCAACUACGUGUCCCAGACUGCAUCCCUGCUGAGAGUCCCUCCCUCGCUUCUCAUGUUGCAGGAAGAACGUAAGCACCCGCCCCUUGUCAAUCAGUCACCAUAUAAUUUUGGAUUGGUUGUUGUGGUGAAGUUUUCCACCAAUAGGAGAGAUGUUGUGGUGUGUUUUUUUUUUCUUUUGGCAAGCCUUUUCCGCCUGUAAGACCUGUCGCUAAUGUCUGCAUGCUAUGUUUUCCUGUCUCAUACAGCGCGAUCGAGCGCCGAACGUGAUCAAAAUAAGCAGAAAAAAAGUAUCGCGGACAUAAUUUAUCAUAACUCUGGUUUUAUUUGGCCUAUCAACACAAUUUAAAAACUGGUAUAUAGGUUGAGGUCCUCACUUUUGAGAUAAGUUGAAACGGAGAGUCAACGAGGCUCCGUCUUGCAGCUACAUCCGGUUAAAUAUGUCAUGUGACUUGAACGCACACACAGACACACACACACGCACACACACACACACACACUCAGAGUCUGGUUUUUAGCACCUGCAAAAACAUGCUAUUUACAUAUUUGACAAGAAUGCAGAGGCUCCUUUUGCCCCUGAAAAAAAUCAAAUUUCAAACACAACUUGACUGGUCAUUUCUCCAAAAGACAACCAUGAAGCUCCAUCCAAACCUGAAGCAGGCAGUUGGUGCAUGUGUACAGUAACCUGAGGGGAGUGAGGUGACUGAUUCUGAGGAGAACAUGAGCAGUGAAGAUUCACCUUAGAGCUAGAACAGGGACGUGCACAUGAUUAUACAGGGGCAGGGGCUCAAGUUUUUUCCAGUCGUUUAUACAAUAUGGAAAUUAAUGUGAAAUUAAAACACAAAGUAUUAAUAGAAAGGUAAUGACUGUCCUGUGUAGGUGACAGUGAUAUCCAAUAGGCUAGGCACUCACGAGGCUGGCUGUGGCAAGUGUAAGUGAAAGCAACACGCACUGGCAAGAAGAACAGCAAACGCCGAUGAAGGAAAAGGGUCUUUGCAGUGAUGGGCGUAACCAGAGAGGGCGAUGGCCAGAGGACACAAAUGGGACGGGGAGGCAGCACGUUGGGGGGGGGGGGACGCGACACGGCUCGGGCCCGCCAGUGCCCCAACGGGGUCCUAGUUAUUAUUUUUCCUCCGCUUUAAACUGGAAAAUGGCCCACUUCCCACUGGUGAAAACUCAGGAAAUUUGGCAGGAAGACCGGGCCUGGUGAAAAAUUCGAUAUUCUGAAGUCGCCCAAACAAAAAAAUGAAAAAUGGCUCCAUAGCGCCCCCUAUGGUGAAAAUUCACCUGACGCCUGUACGCUUUGUCAAAAUGACACAAAAUUUGACACACAUGUGUAUCUCAAUAAGACCUACAAAAAAGUCAGUGCGGGCGUAUCUGUCAAAUGUACCGUUAAAGGGCUAUUUCGCAUUUUUUGCCGAUCCGCACACAUUGGAAUUUCGCUAACUCCUCCGAAGGCUUUCGUUCCACUGGCACCAAAUUUGCUCAGGCCAAUCUACACCCCAUGGCCAUCAAAAGUUGUACAAAUCAUGACGCUGCACCCCACGGUUUACGUUCUAGGGGGCGCCAAAGAUAACCCAAAAAUCCACAUUCUUAAAAGUCUUAUAACUUUUUAUUUUUGUCCUCACUGGCCUCCAAGUUUUCUAGGAUGAUGCAAUGUCCAGCCAUCAACACAUUUGUGAAGGAAUUUUUACUCGCCAAAAGAGCGCCCCCCACCCAUGGCAGGAGAAAAAAGUCCAUUUUUUCUUGUCCACUAAGGUGAAAAUACACAUUGUUGAGUGCUACGCCUGUAUGUUUUGUCGUAUUGACACAAAAUUUUACAUACACGUGUAUUUCAAUAAGAUCUUCGAAAAAGUCAAUGGCCACGUAUCUGUAAAAUGUACGGUUUCGCAUUUUUUGCAGAUUCGCACACAUUGGAAUUUCGCUAACUCCUCCGAAGGCUUUCGUUCCACCGGCACCACAUUUGCUCAGGCCAAUCUACACCCCAUGGCCAUUAAAAGUUAUUCAAAUCAUGACGCUGCACCCCACGGUUUAGGUUCUAGGGGGCGCCAAAGAUAACCCAAAAAUCCACAUUCUUAAAAGUCUUAUAACUUUUUAUUUUUGUCCUCACUGGCCUCCAUGUUUUCUAGGAUGAUGCAAUGUCCAGCCAUCAACACAUUUGUGAAGGAGUUUUUUCUCGUUAAAAGAGCGCCCCCCCAUGGCAGGAGAAUAAAGUCAAGUUUUUCCUGUUCAUCAUUCAAUGGCUCAAACGCACUGCUCUCUCGGCAAAAGCGAAAGGAGGAGCAACUUGCCAUUUGGAUAUAUCUUAGCUGUGUUUGUGCCCUCACUCAUGGUCCAGACUUUUUUCAAAUAGGACAUGGAGUUUUUCUGCAGCGAGCGUUUUGGUAGAAACUGCGCCUCCCGUUCAUUAUAAUGGUAAAUGACCACAAACAAGUGCGCACACCAUCUUUGGACCUUGAGUGUGACGCGAUCGGGUGGGGGAGGCGGUCGCGCUGGGGGCGGCGUGACACGGCUCGGGCCCGCCAGUGCCCCAACGGGGCCCUAGUUAUUAGGGCCCGAGCGUAGCUGCUAAGCAGCUGCGAGAGCCCUCUUGUUCCUGAUGGAUUCUUCUUUCGUUAUUUUUCCUCCGCUUUAAACUGGAAAAUGGCCCACUUCCCACUGGCGAAAACUCAGGAAAUUUGGCAGGACGACCGGGCCUGGUGAAAAAUUUGAUAUUCUGAAGUCGCCCAAAUAAAAAAAUGAAAAAUGGCUCCAUAGCGCCCCCUAUGGUGAAAAUUCACCUGACGCCUGUACGCUUUGUCAAAUUGACACAAAAUUUGACACACAUGUGUAUCUCAAUAAGACCUACAAAAAAGUCAGUGCGGGCGUAUCUGUCAAAUGUACCGUUAAAGGGCUAUUUUGCAUUUUUUGCCGAUCCGCACACAUUGGAAUUUCGCUAACUCCUCCGAAGGCUUUCGUUCCACCGGCACCAAAUUUGCUCAGGCCAAUCUACACCCCAUGGCCAUUAAAAGUUGUACAAAUCAUGACGCUGCACCCCACGGUUUACGUUCUAGGGGGCGCCAAAGAUAACCCAAAAAUCCACAUUCUUAAAAGUCUUAUAACUUUUUAUUUUUGUCCUCACUGGCCUCCAAGUUUUCUAGGAUGAUGCAAUGUCCAGCCAUCAACACAUUUGUGAAGGAAUUUUUACUCCCCAAAAGAGCGCCCCCCCAUGGCAGGUGAAAAAAGUCCAUUUUUUCUUGUCCCCUAACAUGAAAAUACACAUUGUAGAGUGUCACGCCUGAACGCUUUGUCAUAUUGACACAAAAUUUGACAAUCACGUGUAUCUCAAUAAGAUCUACGAAAAAGUCAAAGAGCGCGUAUCUGUAUAAUGUAUGGUUAAAGGGCUAUUUCGCAUUUUUUCCCGAUCCGCACACAUUGGAAUUUCGCUAACUCCUCCUAAGGCUUUCGUCCCACCAACACCAAAUUUGCUCAAGCCGAUCUACAUCCUAUGGCCAUUCAAAGUUGUAAAAAUCAUGACGCUGCACCCCACGGUUUACGUUCUAGGGGGCGCCAAAGAUGACCCAAAAAUCCACAUUCUUAAAAGUCAUUUUGGCCACUGCAGGAGUACAGAGUACUGCAGUUCUAGGGGGCGCCAAAGAUGACCCAAAAAUCCACAUUCUUAAAAGUCUUUUUGGCCACUGCAGGAGUACAGAGUACUGCAGGAUACACACACACACACACACACACACACACACACACACACACACACACACACACACACACACACACUCAGAGUCUGUUUUUUAGCACCUGCAAAAACAUGCUGUUUACAUAUUUGACAAGAAUGCAGAGGCUUCCUUUUGCCCCUGAAAAAAAUCAGAUUUCAAACACAACUUGACUGUUCAUUUCUCCAAAAGACAACCAUGAAGCUCCAUCCAAACCUGAAGCAGAUAGUUGGUGCAUGUGUACAGUAACCUGAGGGGAGUGAGGUGACUAUUUCUGAGGAGAACAUGAGCAGUGAAGAUUCACCUUGGAGCUAGAACAGGGACGUGCACAUGAUAAUACAGGGGCAGGGGCUCAAGAUUUUUCCAGUCAUUUAUACAAUAUGGAAAUUAAUGUGAAAUUAAAACACAAAUAUGUGUGAUGAACUGUUUUUAAAACUUAAACUUCAAAUAAAAAUUGUAAACUUCAAAACAUAUGCAAAUUUUUAACAAAGAACAUAGUAAUUUACCUCUAUUUACAUCAAAAUGCAGGCAAUGGCCCAGGCGUUCUUUGUAAAAUUAUUUACAAAACACUGUAUAGUCUCACAAAUGUCACUUUUUAUUUAUGCCACUACAAAAAAACAUGAUGUAAAUGAUGCAUGAUGUAAAACAUGAUGUAAAAAACUUGUGUAGAUCCUCCUCUAUGUCAGUCCAUGUGUAAUUUUUCCAUAAUUCUUUGUUUUUUGCAGCAUUUUUGUUAGUGUAACUGCAGAUUGUGCUGACAGUCUAUGGCAAAAAAAACAAAAACUGAAAAUGCCUCAACAUGAACCCCUGGUGGUCUCUGAGGGUGAAACCUGCUAACUGCUGCAGCUCUGUCAGCUUCAGUCUCCCAUGCAGAGCUCGGAGCGCAUGUGUGGCUCUGCACCCUUAGCAGCGUUGCUAACUCCUCAGUAAGGAAAGCCUGCUUCAUGUCAGAGUCUCUAAACUCCAGAAGAAGUCGAUAAAAGUCCCUUUCUUUCUAAAAAAAAGUCGUUAGGGGGUCUGAAAAGUAAUUGAAUCUAACAACACAGUCGCUAGGUUUGCAACUACGUGUCCCAGACUGCAUCCCUGCUGAGAGUCCCUCCCUCCCUUCUCAUAUUGCAGGAAGAACGUAAGCGCCCGCCCCUUGUCAAUCAGUCACCAUAUAAUUUUGGAUUGGUUGUUGUGGUGAAGUUUUCCACCAAUAGGAGAGAUGUUGUGGUGUUUUUUUUUUUCUUUUGGCAAGCCUUUUCCGCCUGUAAGACCUGUCGCUAAUGUCUGCAUGCUAUGUUUUCCUGUCUCAUACAGCGCAAUCGAGCACCGAACGUGAUCAAAAUAAGCAGAAAAAAAGUAUCGCGGACAUAAUUUAUCAUAACUCUGGUUUUAUUUGGCCUAUCAACACAAUUUAAAAACUGGUAUAUAGGUUGAGGUCCUCACUUUUGAGAUAAGUUGAAACGGAGAGUUAACGAGGCUCCGUCUUGCAGCUACAUCCGGUUAAAUAUGUCAUGUGACUUGAACGCUGGGGAGCGUCAAUCGAAUCGAAUCAAACCUAACUCUCAGAUGAAUCUUCAAAAUUCACCUCAGAAAUAUGCUUAUUAUUCUUCUCAGAGUACUGCAGGAUACACACACACACACACACAGACACACACGCACACACACACACACACACACACACACACACACACACACACACACACUCAGAGUCUGUUUUUUAGCACCUGCAAAAACAUGCUAUUUACAUAUUUGACAAGAAUGCAGAGGCUUCCUUUUGCCCCUGAAAAAAAUCAAAUUUCAAACACAACUUGACUGCUCAUUUCUCCAAAAGACAACCAUGAAGCUCCAUCCAAACCUGAAGCAGGCAGUUGGUGCAUGUGUACAGUAACCUGAGGGGAGUGAGGUGACUGCUUCUGAGGAGAACAUGAGCAGUGAAGAUUCACCUUGGAGCUAGAACAGGGACGUGCACAUGAUAAUACAGGGGCAGGGGCUCAAGUUUUUUCCAGUCGUUUAUACAAUAUGGAAAUUAAUGUGAAAUUAAAAAACAAAGUAUGACUGUCCUGUGUAGGUGACAGUGAUAUCCAAUAGGCUAGGCACUCACGAGGCUGGCUGUGGCAAGUGUAAGUGAAAGCAACACACACUGGCAGGAAGAACAGCAAACGCCGAUGAAGGAAAAGGGUCUUUGCAGUGAUGGGCGUUACCAGAGAGGGCGAUGGCCAGAGGACACGAAUGGGACGGGGAGGCAGCGCGUUGGGGGGGGGGGGGGGGGUGCGACACGGCUCGGGCCCGCCAGUGCCCCAACGGGGCCCUAGUUAUUAUUUUUCCUCCGCUUUAAACUGGAAAAUGGCCCACUUCCCACUGGCGAAAACUCAUGAAAUUUGGCAGGACGACCGGGCCUGGUGAAAAAUUCGAUAUUCUGAAGCCGCCCAAACAAGAAAAUGCAAAAUGGCUCAAUAGCGCCCCCAAAGGUGAAAAUUCACACUAUUGACUGUCACGUCUGUACGCUUUGUCAUAUUGACACAAAAAUUGACACACACAUGUAUCUCAAUAAGAUCUACAAAAAAGUCAGUGCGGGCGUAUCUGUCAAAUGUACGGUUAAAGGGUUAUUUCGCAUUUUUUGCCGUUCCGCACACAUUGGAAUUUCGCUAACUCCUCCGAAGGCUUUCGUUCCACCAGCACUACAUUUGCUCAGGCCAAUCUACACCCCAUGGCCAUUGAAAGUUGUACAAAUCAUGACGCUGCACCCCACGGUUUACGUUCUAGGGGGCGCCAAAGAUAACCCACAAAUCCACAUUCUUAAAAAUCUUAUAACUUUUUAUUUUUGUCCUCAUUGGCCUCCAAGUUUUCUAGGAUGAUGCAAUGUCCAGCCAUCAACACAUUUGUGAAGGAAUUUUUACUCCCCAAAACAGCGCCCCCCCAUGGCAGGACAAAAAAGGCCAUUUUUUCUUGUCCCCUAAGGUGAAAAUACACAUUGUUCAGUGUCACGCCUAUACGCUUUGUCAUAUUGACACAAAAUUUGACACACACGUGUAUCUCAAUAAGAUCUACGAAAAAGUCAAUGGGCACAUAUCUGUAAAAUGUACGGUUAAAGGGCUAUCUUGCAUUUUUUGCCGAUUCGCACACAUUGGAAUGUGGCUAACUCCUCCUAAGGCUUUCGUUCUACUGACACCAAAUUUGCUCAGGCCAAUCUACACCCCAUGGCCAUUCAAAGUUGUACAAAUCAUGACGCUGCACCCCACGGUUUAGGUUCUAGGGGGCGCCAAAGAUGACCCAAAUAUCCACAUUUUUAAAAGUCUUAUAACUUUUUAUUUUUGUCCUCACUGGCCUCCAAUUUUUCUAGGUUGAUGCAAUGUGCAGCCAUCAACACAUCUGUGAAGGAAUUUUUUCUCCCCAAAAGAGCGCCCCCCCCCCCCCCCAUGGCAGGAGAAAAAGUCAAGUUUUUCCAGCCCAUCGCUUAAUGGCUCAAACGCAUUGCUCUCCCGCUAAAACCAAAAGGAGGAGCAACUUGCCAUGUGGAUAUGUCCUAGCUGUGUUUGUGCCCUCACUCAUGGUCCAGAGUUUUUUCAAAUAGGACAUGUAGUUUGUCUGCAGCGAGCGUUUUGGUAGAAACUGUGCCUCCCAUUCAUUAUAAUGGGAAAUGACCAAAGACAGGUGCGCACACCAUCUUUGGACCUUGACUUUGACGUCACAGUUUGAGAUACAAAUGUUAUUUGACCUCUGACCUUUGGUGGACACCCUAACCUUUCAACCCGCGAAAACGGCGUUUCAAUAGCUCUUACGGCUUUCCUACAAAUACACUUUGUUCAGCUACUCCUACUGUCCUUUAAGCUCUGCUUCUCAGAUCAUCAAAGAGUGUGCACGUGUGUAAUGAGCGCAUAUUGAAUGUUAAUUAUGUUAAAUAUGUUAAUUAUUAGAAGAAAAAACAACAACAGUCCUUUUGGACAAAAUUUCUUUUUAUUACAGAAUUAGAAUAAUGGAAGCAUAGUCCAAGGAAACCAUUCAAGUGAUGUCAUACCUCAUAAUUUAUUGAGAUGUUGGCUAGUCUGGGCAUUUCUUCAUUCAUCAGGUUUCCUGCAUGCAUACUAACAGAGCACAUCAGUAGCAGUGAGUGAUAAGUAUGAGUGUGUCAUUGUGUAAGAAAGAAAGUGGUUUACUUACACAUCCAUAGAAAAUAGGUGGUUGAGCACAGCACGCAAACAAAGCUUUGCCACAACGGUUGAACUUCCCAAGUAGCUGAUACCAAGGUCACACAAUCAUGGUGAGCAAAGGUCAAACCAGGCCAGGCACUCACGAGGCUGGCUGUGGCAAGUGUAAGUGAAAGCAACACGCAAUGGCAGGAAGAACAGCAAACACCGAUGAAGGAAAAGGGUCUUUGCAGUGAUGGGCGUCACCAGAGAGGGCGAUGGCCAGAGGGCACGAAUGGGACGGGGAGGCGGUCGCGCUGGGGGCGGCGCGACGCGGCUCGGGCCCGCCAGUGCCCCAACGGGGCCCUAGUUUCUUCUUUUUCCUCCCCUUUGAACUGGAAAAUGGCCCACUUCCCACUGGCGAAAACUCAUGAAAUUUGGCAGGACGACCGGGCCUGGUGAAAAAUUCGAUAUUCUGAAGUCGCCCAAACAAUAAAAUGCAAAAUGGCUCCAUAGCGCCCCCUAAGGUGGAAAUUCACACUAUUGACUGUCACGCCUGUACGCUUUGUCAUAUUGACACAAAAAUUGACACACAUAUGUAUCUCAAUAAGAUCUACAAAAAAGUCAGUGCGGCCGUAUCUGUCAAAUGUACGGUUAAAGGGUUAUUUCGCAUUUUUUGCCGAUCCGCACACAUUGGAAUUUCGCUAACUCCUCCGAAGGCUUUCGUUCCACCGGCACCACAUUUGCUCAGGCCAAUCUACACCCCGUGGCCAUUAAAAGUUAUCAAAAUCAUGACGCUGCACCCCAAGGUUUAGGUUCUAGGGGGCGCCAAAGAUAACACUAAAAUCCACAUAUUUAAAAGUCUUAUAACUUUUUAUUUUUGUCCUCACUGGCCUCCAAGUUUUCUAGGAUGAUGCAAUGUCCAGCCAUCAACACAUUUGUGAAGGAAUUUUUACUCCCCAAAAGAGCGCCCCCCCAUGGCAGGAGAAAAAAGUCCAUUUUUUCUUGUCCCCUAAGGUGAAAAUACACAUUGUUGAGUGUCACGCCUAUACGCUUUGUCAAAAUGACACAAAAAUUGACACACACAUGUAACUCAAUAAGAUCUACGAAAAAGUCAAUGCGCGCGUAUCUGUCAAAUGUACGGUUAAAGGGUUAUUCCGCAUUUUUUGCCGAUCCGCACACAUUGGAAUGUGGCUAACUCCUCCUAAGGCUUUCGUUCCACCGGCACCACAUUUGCUCAGGCCAAUCUACACCCCAUGGCCAUUAAAAGUUAUCAAAAUCAUGACGCUGCACCCCACGGUUUAGGUUCUAGGGGGCGCCAAAGAUAACCCUAAAAUCCACAUAUUUAAAAGUCUUAUAACUUUUUAUUUUUGUCCUCACUGGCCUCCAAGUUUUCUAGGAUGAUGCAAUGUCCAGCCAUCAACACAUUUGUGAAGGAAUUUUUACUCCCCAAAAGAGCGUCCCCCCAUGGCAGGAGAAAAAAGUCCAUUUUUUCUUGUCCCUUAAGGUGAAAAUACAUAUUGUUGAGAUUCACGCCUAUACGCUUUGUCAUAUUGACACAAAAUUUGACAAUCACGUGCCUUGCCUGGUAUCAUUUUUUUCAGCACAACCUCACCUGUGCGAAUUUACAGUUAUUUUAUCAUGUUGACAUACUGAAUUUACACAAUGGACCCAAAUUCACACACAAAACAUAAAAUCCGAGUGGAAAAAAGUAACAUUUUUACUGUGAAAACCACAAAUAUGUGUGAUGAACUGUUUUUAAAACUUAAACUUCAAAUAAAAAUUGUAAACUUCAAAACAUAUGCAAAUUUUUAACAAAGAACAUAGUGAUUUACCUCUAUUUACAUCAAAAUGCAGGCAAUGGCCCAGGCGUUCUUUGUAAAAUUAUUUACAAAACACUGUAUAGUCUCACAAAUGUCACUUUUUAUUUAUGCCACUACAAAAAAACAUGAUGUAAAUGAUGCAUGAUGUAAAACAUGAUGUAAAAAACUUGUGUAGAUCCUCCUCUAUGUCAGUCCAUGUGUAAUUUUUCCAUAAUUCUUUGUUUUUUGCAGCAUUUUUGUUAGUGUAACUGCAGAUUGUGCUGACAGUGUCUAUGGCAAAAAAAAAAAAAAAUUAAAAUGCCUCAACAUGAACCCCUGGUGGUCUCUGAGGGUGAAACCUGCUAACUGCUGCAGCUCUGUCAGCUUCAGUCUCCCAUGCAGAGCUCUGAGCGCAUGUGUGGCUCUGCACCCUUAGCAGCGUUGCUAACUCCUCAGUAAGGAAAGCCUGCUUCAUGUCAGAGUCUCUAAACUCCAGAAGAAGUCGAUAAAAGUCCCUUUCUUUCUAAAAAAAAGUCGUUAGGGGGUCUGAAAAGUCAUUGAAUCUAACAACAAAGUCGCUAGGUUUGCAACUACGUGUCCCAGACUGCAUCCCUGCUGAGAGUCCCUCCCUCCCUUCUCAUGUUGCAGGAAGAACGUAAGCGCCCGCCCCUUGUCAAUCAGUCACCAUAUAAUUUUGGAUUGGUUGUUGUGGUGAAGUUUUCCACCAAUAGGAGAGAUGUUGUGGUGUGUUUUUUUUUUCUUUUGGCAAGCCUUUUCCGCCUGUAAGAGCUGUCGCUAAUGUCUGCAUGCUAUGUUUUCCUGUCUCAUACAGCGCGAUUGAGCGCCGAACGUGAUCAAAAUAAGCAGAAAAAAAGUAUCGCGGACAUAAUUUAUCAUAACUCUGGUUUUAUUUGGCCUAUCAACACAAUUUAAAAACUGGUAUAUAGGUUGAGGUCCUCACUUUUGAGAUAAGUUGAAACGGAGAGUCAACGAGGCUCCGUCUUGCAGCUACAUCCGGUUAAAUAUGUCAUGUGACUUGAACGCACACACAGACACACACACACGCACACACACACACACACACACACACACACACACACACACACACACACACACACUCAGAGUCUGGUUUUUAGCACCUGCAAAAACAUGCUAUUUACAUAUUUGACAAGAAUGCAGAGGCUCCUUUUGCCCCUGAAAAAAAUCAAAUUUCAAACACAACUUGACUGGUCAUUUCUCCAAAAGACAACCAUGAAGCUCCAUCCAAACCUGAAGCAGGCAGUUGGUGCAUGUGUACAGUAACCUGAGGGGAGUGAGGUGAGUGCUUCUGAGGAGAACAUGAGCAGUGAAGAUUCACCUUGGAGCUAGAACAGAGACAUGCACAUGAUUAUACAGGGGCAGGGGCUCAAGUUUUUUCCAGUCGUUUAUACAAUAUGGAAAUUAAUGUGAAAUUAAAACACAAAGUAUUAAUAGAAAGGUAAUGACUGUCCUGUGUAGGUGACAGUGAUAUCCAAUAGGCUAGGCACUCACGAGGCUGGCUGUGGCAAGUGUAAGUGAAAGCAACACGCACUGGCAGGAAGAACAGCAAACGCCGAUGAAGGAAAAGGGUCUUUGCAGUGAUGGGCGUUACCAGAGAGGGCGAUGGCCAGAGGACACAAAUGGGACGGGGAGGCAGCACGUUGGGGGGGGGGCGCAACACGGCUCGGGCCCGCCAGUGCCCCAACGGGGUCCUAGUUAGGGCCCGAGCGUAGCUGCUAAGCAGCUGCGAGAGCCCUCUUGUUCCUGAUGGAUUCUUCUUUUGUUAUUAUUAGGGCCCGAGCGUAGCUGCUAAGCAGCUGCGAGAGCCCUCUUGUUCCUGUAGUUUCCUUCUUUUGUUAUUAGGGCCCGAGCGUAGCUGCUAAGCAGCUGCGAGAGCCCUAUUAUUCCCCAAGAGGUUUUUCUUUGUUUCUUUCUUUCUUCUUUUUCCUCCCCUUUGAACUGGAAAAUGGCCCACUUCCCACUGGCGAAAACUCAUGAAAUUUGGCAGGAUGACCGGGCCUGGUGAAAAAUUUGAUAUUCCGAAGUCGCCCAAACAAGAAAAUGCAAAAUGGCUCCAUAGCGCCCCCUAAGGUGAAAAUUCACACUAUUGACUGUCACGCCUUUACGCUUUGUCAAAAUGACACAAAAAUUGACACACAUAUGUAUCUCAAUAAGAUCUACAAAAAAGUCAGUGCGGGCGUAUCUGUCAAAUGUACGGUUAAAGGGUUAUUCCGCAUUUUUUGCCGAUCCGCACACAUUGGAAUUUCGCUAACUCCUCCGAAGGCUUUCUGUCCACCGGCACCACAUUUGCUCAGGCCAAUCUACACCCCAUGGCCAUUAAAAGUUAUUCAAAUCAUGAUGCUGCACCCCACGGUUUAGGUUCUAGGGGGCGCCAAAAACAACCCUAAAAUCCACAUAUUUAAAAGUCGUAUAACUUUUUAUUUUUGUCCUCACUGGCCUCCAAGUUUUCUAGGAUGAUGCAAUGUCCAGCCAUCAACACAUUUGUGAAGGAAUUUUUACUCCCCAAAAGAGCGCCCCCCCAUGGCAGGAGAAAAAAGUCCAUUUUUUCUUGUCCCCUAAGGUGAAAAUACACAUUGUUGAGUGUCACGCCUUUACGCUUUGUCAAAAUGACACAAAAAUUGACACACACAUGUAACUCAAUAAGAUCUACGAAAAAGUCAACGCGCGCGUAUCUGUCAAAUGUACGGUUAAAGGGUUAUUCCGCAUUUUUUGCCGAUCCACACACAUUGGAAUUUCGCUAACUCCUCCGAAGGCUUUCUGUCCACCGGCACCACAUUUGCUCAGGCCAAUCUACACCCCAUGGCCAUUAAAAGUUAUUCAAAUCAUGACGCUGCACCCCAUGGUUUAGGUUCUAGGGGGCGCCAAAGACAACCCUAAAAUCCACAUAUUUAAAAGUCUUAUAACUUUUUAUUUUUGUCCUCACUGGCCUCCAAGUUUUCUAGGAUGAUGCAAUGUCCAGCCAUCAACACAUUUGUGAAGGAAUUUUUACUCCCCAAAAGAGCGCCCCCCAUGGCAGGAGAAAAAUGUCCAUUUUUUCUUGUCCCCUAAGGUGAAAAUACAUAUUGUUGAGAUUCACGCCUAUACGCUUUGUCAUAUUGACACAAAAUUUGACAAUCACGUGCCUUGCCUGGUAUCAUUUUUUUCAGCACAACCUCACCUGUGCGAAUUUACAGUUAUUUUAUCAUGUUGACAUACUGAAUUUACACAAUGGACCCAAAUUCACACACAAAACAUAAAAUCCGAGUGGAAAAAAGUAACAUUUUUACUGUGAAAACCACAAAUAUGUGUGAUGAACUGUUUUUAAAACUUAAACUUCAAAUAAAAAUUGUAAACUUCAAAACAUAUGCAAAUUUUUAACAAAGAACAUAGUAAUUUACCUCUAUUUACAUCAAAAUGCAGGCAAUGGCCCAGGCGUUCUUUGUAAAAUUAUUUACAAAACACUGUAUAGUCUCACAAAUGUCACUUUUUAUUUAUGCCACUACAAAAAAACAUGAUGUAAAUGAUGCAUGAUGUAAAACAUGAUGUAAAAAACUUGUGUAGAUCCUCCUCUAUGUCAGUCCAUGUGUAAUUUUUCCAUAAUUCUUUGUUUUUUGCAGCAUUUUUGUUAGUGUAACUGCAGAUUGUGCUGACAGUGUCUAUGGCACAAAAAAAAAAAAAAUUAAAAUGCCUCAACAUGAACCCCUGGUGGUCUCUGAGGGUGAAACCUGCUAACUGCUGCAGCUCUGUCAGCUUUAGUCUCCCAUGCAGAGCUCUGAGCGCAUGUGUGGCUCUGCACCCUUAGCAGCGUUGCUAACGCCUCAGUAAGGAAAGCCUGCUUCAUGUCAGAGUCUCUAAACUCCAGAAGAAGUCGAUAAAAGUCCCUUUCUUUCUAAAAAAAAGUCGUUAGGGGGUCUGAAAAGUCAUUGAAUCUAACAACAAAGUCUCUAGGUUUGCAACUACGUGUCCCAGACUGCAUCCCUGCUGAGAGUCCCUCCCUCCCUUCUCAUAUUGCAGGAAGAACGUAAGCGCCCGCCCCUUGUCAAUCAGUCACCAUAUAAUUUUGGAUUGGUUGUUGUGGUGAAGUUUUCCACCAAUAGGAGAGAUGUUGUGGUGUGUUUUUUUUUUUCUUUUGGCAAGCCUUUUCCGCCUGUAAGACCUGUCGCUAAUGUCUGCAUGCUAUGUUUUCCUGUCUCAUACAGCGCGAUUGAGCGCCGAACGUGAUCAAAAUAAGCAGAAAAAAAGUAUCGCGGACAUAAUUUAUCAUAACUCUGGUUUUAUUUGGCCUAUCAACACAAUUUAAAAACUGGUAUAUAGGUUGAGGUCCUCACUUUUGAGAUAAGUUGAAACGGAGAGUCAACGAGGCUCCGUCUUGCAGCUACAUCCGGUUAAAUAUGUCAUGUGACUUGAACGCACACACAGACACACACACACGCACACACACACACACACACACACACACACACACACACACACACACUCAGAGUCUGGUUUUUAGCACCUGCAAAAACAUGCUAUUUACAUAUUUGACAAGAAUGCAGAGGCUCCUUUUGCCCCUGAAAAAAAUCAAAUUUCAAACACAACUUGACUGGUCAUUUCUCCAAAAGACAACCAUGAAGCUCCAUCCAAACCUGAAGCAGGCAGUUGGUGCAUGUGUACAGUAACCUGAGGGGAGUGAGGUGACUGCUUCUGAGGAGAACAUGAGCAGUGAAGAUUCACCUUACAGCUAGAACAGAGACGUGCACAUGAUUAUACAGGGGCAGGGGCUCAAGUUUUUUCCAGUUGUUUAUACAAUAUGGAAAUUAAUGUGAAAUUAAAAAACAAAGUAUUAAUAGAAAGGUAAUGACUGUCCUGAGUAGGUGACAGUGAUAUCCAAUAGGCUAGGCACUCAAGAGGCUGGCUGUGGCAAGUGUAAGUGAAAGCAACACGCACUGGCAGGAAGAACAGCAAACGCCGAUGAAGGAAAAGGGUCUUUGCAGUGAUGGGCGUUACCAGAGAGGGCGAUGGCCAGAGGACACAAAUGGGACGGGGAGGCAGCGCGUUGGGGGGGGGACGCGACACAGCUCGGGCCCGCCAGUGCCCCAACGGGGUCCUAGUUAUUAUUAUUAGGGCCCGAGCCAGCUGCAGAGCAGCCGGGCGUAGGCCCUAUUAUUCCCCAAGUGGUUUUUCUUUGUUUCUUUCUUUCUUUCUUUCUUUCUUCUUUUUCCUCCCCUUUGAACUGGAAAAUGGCCCACUUCCCACUGGCGAAAACUCAUGAAAUUUGGCAGGACGACCGGGCCUGGUGAAAAAUUCGAUAUUCUGAAGUCGUCCAAACAAUAAAAUGCAAAAUGGCUCCAUAGCGCCCCCUAAGGUGGAAAUUCACACUAUUGACUGUCACGCCUGUACGCUUUGUCAUAUUGACACAAAAAUUGACACACAUAUGUAUCUCAAUAAGAUCUACAAAAAAGUCAGUGCGGCCGUAUCUGUCAAAAUUACGGUUAAAGGGUUAUUUCGCAUUUUUUGCCGAUCCGCACACAUUGGAAUUUCGCUAACUCCUCCGAAGGCUUUCGUUCCACCGGCACCACAUUUGCUCAGGCCAAUCUACACCCCGUGGCCAUUAAAAGUUAUCAAAAUCAUGACGCUGCACCCCAAGGUUUAGGUUCUAGGGGGCGCCAAAGAUAACACUAAAAUCCACAUAUUUAAAAGUCUUAUAACUUUUUAUUUUUGUCCUCACUGGCCUCCAAGUUUUCUAGGAUGAUGCAAUGUCCAGCCAUCAACACAUUUGUGAAGGAAUUUUUACUCCCCCAAAGAGCGCCCCCCCAUGGCAGGAGAAAAAAGUCCAUUUUUUCUUGUCCCCUAAGGUGAAAAUACACAUUGUUGAGUGUCACGCCUAUACGCUUUGUCAAAAUGACACAAAAAUUGACACACACAUGUAACUCAAUAAGAUCUACAAAAAAGUCCAUGCGCGCGUAUCUGUCAAAUGUACAGUUAAAGGGUUAUUCCGCAUUUUUUGCCGAUACGCACACAUUGGAAUUUCGCUAACUCCUCCGAAGGCUUUCGUUCCACCGGCACCACAUUUGCUCAGGCCAAUCUACACCCCAUGGCCAUUAAAAGUUAUUCAAAUCAUGAUGCUGCACCCCAUGGUUUAGGUUCUAGGGGGCGCCAAAAAUAACCCAAAAAUCCACAUUCUUAAAUGUUUUAUAACUUUUUAUUUUUGUCCUCACUGGCCUCCAAGUUUUCUAGGAUGAUGCAAUGUCCAGCCAUCAACACAUUUGUGAAGGAAUUUUUACUCCCCAAAAGAGCGCCCCCCAUGGUAGAGGAAAAAAGUCGAUUUUUUCUUGUCCCCUUACAUAAAAAUACACAUUGUUGAGUGUCACGCCUGAACGCUUUGUCAUAUUGACACAAAAAUUGACAAUCAUGUGUAUCUCAAUUAGAUCUACGAAAAAGUCAAAGAGCGCGUAUCUGUAUAAUGUACGGUUAAAGGGCUAUUUUGCAUUUUUUGCCGAUUCGCACACAUUGGAAUGUGGCUAUCUCCUCCUAAGGCUUUCGUCCCACCGAUACCAAAUUUGCUCAGGGCAAUCUACACCCCAUGCCCAUUCAAAGUUGUAAAAAUCAUGACGCUGCACCCCACGGUUUACGUUCUAGGGGGCGCCAAAGAUGACCCAAAAAUCCACAUUCUUAAAAGUCAUUUUGGCCACUGCAGGAGUACAGAGUACUGCAGUUCUAGGGGGCGCCAAAGAUGACCCAAAAAUCCACAUUCUUAAAAGUCAUUUUGGCCACUGCAGGAGUACAGAGUACUGCAGGAUACACACACAUAUACACACACGCCAACAUACACACACACACACACACACACACACACACAGACACACACACACACUCAGAGUCUGUUUUUUAGCACCUGCAACAUGCUGUUUACAUAUUUGACAAGAAUGCAGAGGCUUCCUUUUGCCCCUGAAAAAAAUCAAAUUUCAAACACAACUUGACUGGUCAUUUCUCCAAAAGACAACCAUGAAGCUCCAUUUCAAACCUGAAGCAGAUAGUUGGUGCAUGUGUACAGUAACCUGAGGGGAGUGAGGUGACUAUUUCUGAGGAGAACAUGAGCAGUGAAGAUUCACCUUGGAGCUAGAACAGGGACGUGCACAUGAUUAUACAGGGGCAGGGGCUCAAGUUUUUUCCAGUCAUUUAUACAAUAUGGAAAUUAAUGUGAAAUUAAACCACAAAUAUGUGUGAUGAACUGUUUUUAAAACUUAAACUUCAAAUAAAAAUUGUAAACUUCAAAACAUAUGCAAAUUUUUAACAAAGAACAUAGUAAUUUACCUCUAUUUACAUCAAAAUGCAGGCAAUGGCCCAGGCGUUCUUUGUAAAAUUAUUUACAAAUCACUGUAUAGUCUCACAAAUGUCACUUUUUAUUUAUGCCACUACAAAAAAACAUGAUGUAAAUGAUGCAUGAUGUAAAACAUGAUGUAAAAAACUUGUGUAGAUCCUCCUCUAUGUCAGUCCAUGUGUAAUUUUUCCAUAAUUCUUUGUUUUUUGCAGCAUUUUUAGGGCCCGAGCCAGCUGCAGAGCAGCCGGGCGUAGGCCCUAUUAUUCCCCAAGUGGUUUUUCUUUGUUUCUUUCUUUCUUUCUUUCUUUCUUUCUUAGGGCCCGAGCGUAGCUGCUAAGCAGCUGCGAGAGCCCUAUUAUUCCCCAAGGGGUUUUUCUUUGUUUCUUUUUUCUUUUUCCUCCCCUUUGAACUGGAAAAUGGCCCACUUCCCACUGGCGAAAACUCAUGAAAUUUGGCAGGACGACCGGGCCUGGUGAAAAAUUUGAUAUUCCGAAGUCGCCCAAACAAGAAAAUGCAAAAUGGCUCCAUAGCGCCCCCUAAGGUGAAAAUUCACACUAUUGACUGUCACGCCUGUACGCUUUGUCAAAAUGACACAAAAAUUGACACACACAUGUAUCUCAAUAAGAUCUACAAAAAAGUCAGUGCGGGCGUAUCUGUCAAAUGUACGGUUAAAGGGUUAUUUCGCAUUUUUUGCUGAUCCGCACACAUUGGAAUUUCGCUAACUCCUCCGAAGGCUUUCGUUCCACCGGCACCACAUUUGCUCAGGCCAAUCUACACCCCAUGGCCAUUAAAAGUUAUUCAAAUCAUGACGCUGCACCCCACGGUUUAGGUUCUAGGGGGCGCCAAAGAUAACCCUAAGAUCCACAUAUUUAAAAGUCUUAUAACUUUUUAUUUUUGCCCUCACUGGCCUCCAAGUUUUCUAGGAUGAUGCAAUGUCCAGCCAUCAACACAUUUGUGAAGGAAUUUUUACUCCCCAAAAGAGCGCCCCCCAUGGCAGGAGAAAAAAGUCCAUUUUUUCUUGUCCCCUAAGGUGAAAAUACACAUUGUUGAGUGUAACACCUGUACGCUUUGGCAAAAUGACACCAAAAUUGACACACACAUGUAUCUCAAUAAGAUCUACAAAAAAGUCAAUGCGCACGUAUCUGUCAAAUGUACGGUUAAAGGGUUAUUUCGCAUUUUUUGCCGAUCCGCACACAUUGGAAUUUCGCUAACUCCUCCGAAGGCUUUCGUUCCACCGGCACCACAUUUUCUCAGGCCAAUCUACACCCCAUGGCCAUUAAAAGUUAUUCAAAUCAUGACGCUGCACCCCACGGUUUAGGUUCUAGGGGGCGCCAAAGAUAACCGUAAAAUCCACAUAUUUAAAAGUCUUAUAACUUUUUAUUUUUGUCCCCACUGGCCUCCAAGUUUUCUAGGAUGAUGCAAUGUCCAGCCAUCAACACAUUUGUGAAGGAAUUUUUACUCGCCAAAAGAGCGCCCCCCAUGGCAGGAGAAAAAAGUCCAUUUUUUCUUGUCCACUAAGGUGAAAAUACACAUUGUUGAGUGCUACGCCUGUAUGUUUUGUCGUAUUGACACAAAAUUUUACAUACACGUGUCUUUCAAUAAGAUCUUCGAAAAAGUCAAUGGCCACGUAUCUGUAAAAUGUACGGUUAAAGGGUUAUUUCGCAUUUUUUGCAGAUUCGCACACAUUGGAAUUUCGCUAACUCCUCCGAAGGCUUUCGUUCCACCGGCACCACAUUUGCUCAGGCCAAUCUACACCCCAUGGCCAUUAAAAGUUAUUCAAAUCAUGACGCUGCACCCCACGGUUUAGGUUCUAGGGGGCGCCAAAGAUAACCCUAAAAUCCACAUAUUUAAAAGUCUUAUAACUUUUUAUUUUUGUCCUCACUGGCCUCCAUGUUUUCUAGGAUGAUGCAAUGUCCAGCCAUCAACACAUUUGUGAAGGAGUUUUUUCUCGUUAAAAGAGCGCCCCCCAUGGCAGGAGAAUAAAGUCAAGUUUUUCCUGUUCAUCAUUCAAUGGCUCAAACGCACUGCUCUCUCGGCAAAAGCGAAAGGAGCAGCAACUUGCCAUUUGGAUAUAUCUUAGCUGGGUUUGUGCCCUCACUCAUGGUCCAGACUUUUUUCAAAUAGGACAUGGAGUUUUUCUGCAGCGAGCGUUUUGGUAGAAACUGCGCCUCCCGUUCAUUAUAAUGGUAAAUGACCACAAACAAGUGCGCACACCAUCUUUGGACCUUGAGUGUGACGCGAUCGGGUGGGGGAGGCGGUCGUGCUGGGGGCGGCGUGACACGGCUCGGGCCCGCCAGUGCCCCAACGGGGCCCUAGUUAUUAUUAUUUUUCCUCCCCUUUGAACUGGAAAAUGGCCCACUUCCCACUGGCAAAAACUCAUGAAAUUUGGCAGGACGACCGGGCCUGGUGAAAAAUUUGAUAUUCCGAAGUCGCCCAAACAAGAAAAUGCAAAAUGGCUCCAUAGCGCCCCCUAAGGUGAAAAUUCACACUAUUCACUGUCACGCCUGUACGCUUUGUCAAAAUGACACAAAAAUUGACACACACAUGUAUCUCAAUAAGAUCUACAAAAAAGUCAGUGCGGGCGUAUCUGUCAAAUGUACGGUUAAAGGGUUAUUUCGCAUUUUUUGCCGAUCCGCACACAUUGGAAUUUCGCUAACUCCUCCGAAGGCUUUCGUUCCACCGGCACCACAUUUGCUCAGGCCAAUCUACACCCCAUGGCCAUUAAAAGUUAUUCAAAUCAUGACGCUGCACCCCACGGUUUAGGUUCUAGGGGGCGCCAAAGAUAACCCUAAGAUCCACAUAUUUAAAAGUCUUAUAACUUUUUAUUUUUGCCCUCAUUGGCCUCCAAGUUUUCUAGGAUGAUGCAAUGUCCAGCCAUCAACACAUUUGUGAAGGAAUUUUUACUCCCCAAAAGAGCGCCCCCCCAUGGCAGGAGAAAAAAGUCCAUUUUUUCUUGUCCUCUAAGGUGAAAAUACACAUUGUUGAGUGUAACACCUGUACGCUUUGGCAAAAUGACACAAAAAUUGACACACACAUGUAUCUCAAUAAGAUCUACGAAAAAGUCAAUGCGCACGUAUCUGUUACAUGUACGGUUAAAGGGUUAUUCCGCAUUUUUUGCCGAUCCGCACACAUUGGAAUUUCGCUAACUCCUCCGAAGGCUUUCGUUCCACCGGCACCACAUUUGCUCAGGCCAAUCUACACCCCAUGGCCAUUAAAAGUUAUUCAAAUCAUGACGCUGCACCCCAUGGUUUAGGUUCUAGGGGGCGCCAAAGAUAACCGUAAAAUCCACAUAUUUAAAAGUCUUAUAACUUUUUAUUUUUGUCCCCACUGGCCUCCAAGUUUUCUAGGAUGAUGCAAUGUCCAGCCAUCAACACAUUUGUGAAGGAAUUUUUACUCCCCAAAAGAGCGCCCCCCCAUGGCAGGAGAAAAAAGUCCAUUUUUUCUUGUCCACUAAGGUGAAAAUACACAUUGUUGAGUGCUACGCCUGUAUGUUUUGUCGUAUUGACACAAAAUUUUACAUACACGUGUAUUUCAAUAAGAUCUUCGAAAAAGUCAAUGGCCACGUAUCUGUAAAAUGUACGGUUAAAGGGUUAUUUUGCAUUUUUUGCAGAUUCGCACACAUUGGAAUUUCGCUAACUCCUCCGAAGGCUUUUGUUCCACCGGCACCACAUUUGCUCAGGCCAAUCUACACCCCAUGGCCAUUAAAAGUUAUUCAAAUCAUGACGCUGCACCCCACGGUUUAGGUUCUAGGGGGCGCCAAAGAUAACCCUAAAAUCCACAUAUUUAAAAGUCUUAUAACUUUUUAUUUUUGUCCUCACUGGCCUCCAUGUUUUCUAGGAUGAUGCAAUGUCCAGCCAUCAACACAUUUGUGAAGGAGUUUUUUCUCGUUAAAAGAGCGCCCCCCAUGGCAGGAGAAUAAAGUCAAGUUUUUCCUGUUCAUCAUUCAAUGGCUCAAACGCACUGCUCUCUCGGCAAAAGCGAAAGGAGGAGCAACUUGCCAUUUGGAUAUAUCUUAGCUGUGUUUGUGCCCUCACUCAUGGUCCAGACUUUUUUCAAAUAGGACAUGGAGUUUUUCUGCAGCGAGCGCUUUGGUAGAAACUGCGCCUCCCGUUCAUUAUAAUGGUAAAUGACCACAAACAAGUGCGCACACCAUCUUUGGACCUUGAGUGUGACGCGAUCGGGUGGGGGAGGCGGUCGCGCUGGGGGCGGCGUGACACGGCUCGGGCCCGCCAGUGCCCCAACGGGGCCCUAGUUAUUAUUUUUCCUCCGCUUUAAACUGGAAAAUGGCCCACUUCCCACUGGCGAAAACUCAUGAAAUUUGGCAGGACGACCGGGCCUGGUGAAAAAUUCGAUAUUCUGAAGUCGCCCAAACAAUAAAAUGCAAAAUGGCUCCAUAGCGCCCCCUAAGGUGGAAAUUCACACUAUUGACUGUCACGCCUGUACGCUUUGUCAAAAUGACACAAAAAUUGACACACACAUGUAUCUCAAUAAGAUCUACAAAAAAGUCAGUGCGGGCGUAUCUGUCAAAUGUACGGUUAAAGGAUUAUUGCGCAUUUUUUGCCGAUCCGCACACAUUGGAAUUUCGCUAACUCCUCCGAAGGCUUUCGUUCCACCGGCACCACAUUUGCUCAGGCCAAUCUACACCCCAUGGCCAUUAAAAGUUGUACAAAUCAUGACGCUGCACCCCACGGUUUAGGUUCUAGGGGGCGCCAAAGAUAACCAUAAAAUCCACAUAUUUAAAAGUCUUAUAACUUUUUAUUUUUGUCCUCACUGGCCUCCAAGUUCUCUAGGAUAAUGCAAUGUCCAGCCAUCAACACAUUUGUGAAGGAAUUUUUACUCCCCAAAAGAGCGCCCCCCCAUGGCAGGAGAAAAAAGUCCAUUUUUUCUUGUCCCCUAAGGUGAAAAUUUACAUUGUUGAGUGUCACGCCUGUACGCUUUGUCAUAUUGACACAAAAUUUGACAAUCACGUGUAUCUCAAUAAGAUCUACGAAAAAGUCAAUGCGCGCGUAUCUGUCAAAUGUACGGUUAAAGGGCUAUUUUGCAUUUUUUGCCGAUUCGCACACAUUGGAAUGUCGCAAACUCCUCCUAAGGCUUUCGUCCCACUGACACCAAAUUUUCUCAGGCCAAUCUACACCCCAUGGCCAUUCAAAGUUGUAAAAAUCAUGACGCUGCACCCCACGGUUUACGUUCUAGGGGGCGCCAAAGAUGACCCAAAUAUCCACUUUCUUAAAAGAAUCCACAUCCCCCCCCAUCCCCCACCCCCCAUGGCAGGAGAAACAGUCAAGUUUUUCCUGCCCAUCACUCAAUGGCUCAAUCGCAUCGCUCUCCUGGCAACACCGUAACGAGGAGCAACUUGCCGUUUGGAUAUAUCCUAGCUAUGUUUGUGCCCUCACUCAUGGUCCAGACUUUUUUCAAAUAGGACAUGUAGUUUGUCUGCAGCGAGUGUUUUGGUAGAAACUGCGCUUCCCAUUCAUUAUAAUGGGAAAUGACCACAGACAAGUGCGCACACCAUCUUUGGACCUUGAGUGUGACGCGAUCGGGAGGUGGAGGCGGUCGCGCUGGGGGUGGUGCGAUGCGGCUCGGGCCCGACAGUGCCCCACCGGGGCCCUAGUUAGGGCCCGAGCGUAGCUGCUAAGCAGCUGCGAGAGCCCUAUUAUUCCCCAAGGGGUUUUUCUUUGUUUCUUUCUUUCUUUCUUUCUUCUUUUUCCUCCCCUUUGAACUGGAAAAUGGCCCACUUCCCACUGGCGAAAACUCAGGAAAUUUGGCAGGACGACCGGGCCUGGUGAAAAAUUCGAUAUUCCGAAGUCGCCCAAACAAGAAAAUGCAAAAUGGCUCCAUAGCGCCCCCUAAGGUGAAAAUUCACACUAUUGACUGUCACGCCUGUACGCUUUGUCAAAAUGACACAAAAAUUGACACACACAUGUAUCUCAAUAAGAUCUACAAAAAAGUCAGUGCGGGCGUAUCUGUCAAAUGUACGGUUAAAGGGUUAUUUCGCAUUUUUUGCCGAUCCGCACACAUUGGAAUUUCGCUAACUCCUCCGAAGGCUUUCGUUCCACCGGCACCACAUUUGCUCAGGCCAAUCUACACCCCAUGGCCAUUAAAAGUUAUUCAAAUCAUGACGCUGCACCCCACGGUUUAGGUUCUAGGGGGCGCCAAAGAUAACCCUAAAAUCCACAUUUUUAAAAGUCUUAUAACUUUUUAUUUUUGCCCUCACUGGCCUCCAAGUUUUCUAGGAUGAUGCAAUGUCCAGCCAUCAACACAUUUGUGAAGGAAUUUUUACUCCCCAAAAGAGCGCCCCCCCAUGGCAGGAGAAAAAAGUCCAUUUUUUCUUGUCCCCUAAGGUGAAAAUACACAUUGUUGAGUGUCACGCCUGUACGCUUUGUCAAAAUGACACAAAAAUUGACACACACAUGUAUCUCAAUAAGAUCUACAAAAAAGUCCAUGCGCGCGUAUCUGUCUAAUGUACGGUUAAAGGGUUAUUCCGCAUUUUUUGCCGAUUCGCACACAUUGGAAUUUCGCUAACUCCUCCGAAGGCUUUCGUUCCACCGGCACCACAUUUGCUCAGGCCAAAUUACACCCCAUGGCCAUUAAAAGUUAUUCAAAUCAUGACGCUGCACCCUACGGUUUACGUUCUAGGGGGCGCCAAAGAUAACCCAAAAAUCCACAUUUUUAAAAGUCUUAUAACUUUUUAUUUUUGUCCUCACUGGCCUCCAAGUUUUCUAGGAUGAUGCAAUGUCCAGCCAUCAACACAUUUGUGAAGGAAUUUUUACUUCCUAAAAGAGCGCCCCCCCAUGGCAGGAGAAAAAAGUCCAUUUUUUCUUGUCCCCUAAGGUGAAAAUACACAUUGUUGACUGUCACGCCUGUACGCUUUGGCAAAAUGACACAAAAAUUGACAAUCAUGUGUAUCUCAAUUAGAUCUACGAAAAAGUCAAAGAGCGCGUAUCUGUAUAAUGUACGGUAAAAGGGCUAUUUUGCAUUUUUUGCCGAUUCGCACACAUUGGAAUUUCGCUAACUCCUCCUAAGGCUUUCGUCCCACUGACACCAAAUUUGCUCAGGCCAAUCUACACUCCAUGGCCAUUCAAAGUUGUAAAAAUCAUGACGCUGCACCCCACGGUUUACGUUUUAGGGGGCGCCAAAGAUGACCCAAAUAUACAUUACAGUAGACAAAGUAGUUUUGCCCACUGAGUGGCGCCAAAGGGACUUGUCUAUGGAGUCUGUGAGUCACUAUUGGCCGUUUUUGACUACUUUAGAUUUUACCUUUAUAUUUCCUCUUACAAAAUUUUUACCUUGCCUUGCCUGGUAUCAUUUUUUUCAGCACAACCUCACCUGUGUCAAUUUACAGUUAUUUUAUCAUUUUGACAUACUAUAUUUACACAUUGGACCCAAAUUCACACACAAAACAUAAAAUCCGAGUGGAAAAAAGUAACGUUUUUACUGUGAAAACCACAAAUAUGUGUGAUGAACUGUUUUUAAAACUUAAACUUCAAAUAAAAAUUGUAAACUUCAGAACAUAUGCAAAUUUUUAACAAAGAACAUAGUAAUUUACCUCUAUUUACAUCAAAAUGCAGGCAAUGGCUCAGGUGUUCUUUGUAAAAUUAUUUACAAAACACUGUAUAGUCUCACAAAUGUCACUUUUUAUUUAUGCCACUACAAAAAAAACAUGAUGUAAAUGAUGCAUGAUGUAAAACAUGAUGUAAAAAACUUGUGUAGAUCCUCCUCUAUGUUAGUCCAUGUGUAAUUUUUCCAUAAUUCUUUGUUUUUUGCAGCAUUUUUGUUAGUGUAACUGCAGAUUGUGCUGACAGUGUCUAUGGCAAAAAAAAAAAAAAAACUGAAAAUGCCUCAACAUGAACCCCUGGUGGUCUCUGAGGGUGAAACCUGCUAACUGCUGCAGCUCUGUCAGCUUCAGUCUCCCAUGCAGAGCUCGGAGCGCAUGUGUGGCUCUGCACCCUUAGCAGCGUUGCUAACUCCUCAGUAAGGAAAGCCUGCUUCAUGUCAGAGUCUCAAAACUCCAGAAGAAGUCGAUAAAAGUCCCUUUCUUUCUAAAAAAAAAGUCGUUAGGGGGUCUGAAAAGUCAUUGAAUCUAACAACAAAGUCGCUAGGUUUGCAACUACGUGUCCCAGACUGCAUCCCUGCUGAGAGUCCCUCCCUCCCUUCUCAUAUUGCAGGAAGAACGUAAGCGCCCGCCCCUUGUCAAUCAGUCACCAUAUAAUUUUGGAUUGGUUGUUGUGGUGAAGUUUUCCACCAAUAGGAGAGAUGUUGUGGUGUGUUUUUUUUUUUCCUUUGGCAAGCCUUUUCCGCCUGUAAGACCUGUCGCUAAUGUCUGCAUGCUAUGUUUUCCUGUCUCAUACAGCGCGAUCGAGCGCCGAACGUGAUCAAAAUAAGCAGAAAACAAGUAUCGCGGACAUAAUUUAUCAUAACUCUGGUUUUAUUUGGCCUAUCAACACAAUUUAAAAACUGGUAUAUAGGUUGAGGUCCUCACUUUUGAGAUAAGUUGAAACGGAGAGUCAACGAGGCUCCGUCUUGCAGCUACAUCCGGUUAAAUAUGUCAUGUGACUUGAACGCACACACAGACACACACACACACGCACACACACACACACACACACUCAGAGUCUGGUUUUUAGCACCUGCAAAAACAUGCUAUUUACAUAUUUGACAAGAAUGCAGAGGCUCCUUUUGCCCCUGAAAAAAAUCAAAUUUCAAACACAACUUGACUGGUCAUUUCUCCAAAAGACAACCAUGAAGCUCCAUCCAAACCUGAAGCAGGCAGUUGGUGCAUGUGCACAGUAACCUGAGGGGAGUGAGGUGACUGCUUCUGAGGAGAACAUGAGCAGUGAAGAUUCACCUUAGAGCUAGAACAGAGACGUGCACAUGAUUAUACAGGGGCAGGGGCUCAAGUUUUUUCCAGUUGUUUAUACAAUAUGGAAAUUAAUGUGAAAUUAAAAAACAAAGUAUUAAUAGAAAGGUAAUGACUGUCCUGUGUAGGUGACAGUGAUAUCCAAUAGGCUAGGCACUCACGAGGCUGGCUGUGGCAAGUGUAAGUGAAAGCAACACGCACUGGCAGGAAGAACAGCAAACGCCGAUGAAGGAAAAGGGUCUUUGCAGUGAUGGGCGUUACCAGAGAGGGCGAUGGCCAGAGGACACAAAUGGGACGGGGAGGCAGCGCGUUGGGGGGGGGACGCGGCACAGCUCGGGCCCGCCAGUGCCCCAACGGGGUCCUAGUUAUUAUUUUUCCUCCCCUUUGAACUGGAAAAUGGCCCACUUCCCACUGGCGAAAACUCAUGAAAUUUGGCAGGACGACCGGGCCUGGUGAAAAAUUUGAUAUUCCGAAGUCGCCCAAACAAGAAAAUGCAAAAUGGCUCCAUAGCGCCCCCUAAGGUGAAAAUUCACACUAUUGACUGUCACGCGUGUACGCUUUGGCAAAAUGACACAAAAAUUGACACACACAUGUAUCUCAAUAAGAUCUACGAAAAAGUCAAUGCGUGCGUAUCUGUCAAAUGUACGGUUAAAGGGUUAUUCCGCAUUUUUUGCCGAUCCGCACACAUUGGAAUUUCGCUAACUCCUCCUAAGGCUUUCGUUCCACCGGCACCACAUUUGCUCAGGCCAAUCUACACCCCAUGGCCAUUAAAAGUUAUUCAAAUCAUGACGCUGCACCCCACGGUUUAGGUUCUAGGGGGCGCCAAAGAUAACACUAAAAUCCACAUAUUUAAAAGUCUUAUAACUUUUUAUUUUUGUCCUCACUGGCCUCCAAGUUUUCUAGGAUGAUGCAAUGUCCAGCCAUCAACACAUUUGUGAAGGAAUUUUUACUCCCCAAAAGAGCGCCCCCCCAUGGCAGGAGAAAAAAGUCCAAUUUUUUCUUGUCCCCUAAGGUGGUAAUUCACACUAUUGACUGUCACGCCUGUACGCUUUAUCAUAUUGACACAAAAAUUGACACACAUAUGUAUCUCAAUAAGAUCUACAAAAAAGUCAAUGCGCGCGUAUCUGUCAAAUGUACGGUUAAAGGGCUAUUUUGCAUUUUUUGCCGAUUCGCACACAUUGGAAUGUGGCUAACUCCUCCUAAGGCUUUCGUCCCACUGACACCAAAUUUGCUCAGGCCAAUCUACACCCCAUGGCCAUUCAAAGUUGUAAAAAUCAUGACGCUGCACUCCACGGUUUACGUUCUAGGGGGCGCCAAAGAUGACCCAAAAAUCCACAUUCUUAAAGGAAUCCACAUCCCCCCCCAAGGCAGGAGAAAAAGUCAAGUUAACCCUGCCCAUUGCUCAAUGGCUCAAUCGCAUCGCUCUCCAGGCAACACCGUAAGGAGGAGCAACCUGCCAUUUCGAUAUAUCAUAGCUGUGUUUGUGCCCUCACUCAUGGUCCAGACUUUUUUCAAAUAGGACAUGAAGUUUGUCUGCAGCGAGUGUUUUGGUAGAAACUGCGCCUCCCAUUCAUUAUAAUGGGAAAUGACCACAGACAAGUGCGCACACCAUCUUUGGACCUUGAGUGUGACGCGAUCGGGAGGGGGAGGCGGUCGCACUAGGGGCGGCGCGACGCGGCUCGGGCCCGACAGUGCCCCACCGGGGCCCUAGUGUUAUUAUUAUUAGGGCCCGAGCGUAGCUGCUAAGCAGCUGCGAGAGCCCUAUUAUUCCCCAAGUGGUUUUUCUUUGUUUCUUUAGGGCCCGAGCGUAGCUGCUAAGCAGCUGCGAGAGCCCUAUUAUUCCCCAAGUGGUUUUUCUUUGUUUCUUUCUUUCUUUCUUUCUUUCUUAGGGCCCGAGCGUAGCUGCUAAGCAGCUGCGAGAGCCCUAUUAUUCCCCAAGUGGUUUUUCUUUGUUUCUUUCUUUCUUUCUUUCUUCUUUUUCCUCCCCUUUGAACUGGAAAAUGGCCCACUUCCCACUGGCGAAAACUCAUGAGAUUUGGCAGGACGACCGGGCCUGGUGAAAAAUUCGAUAUUCUGAAGUCGCCCAAACAAUAAAAUGCAAAAUGGCUACAUAGCGCCCCCUAAGGUGGAAAUUCACACUAUUGACUGUCACGCCUGUACGCUUUGUCAUAUUGACACAAAAAUUGACACACAUAUGUAUCUCAAUAAGAUGUACAAAAAAGUCAGUGCGGCCGUAUCUGUCAAAAUUACGGUUAAAGGGUUAUUACGCAUUUUUUGCCGAUCCGCACACAUUGGAAUUUCGCUAACUCCUCCGAAGGCUUUCGUUCCACCGGCACCACAUUUGCUCAGGCCAAUCUACACCCCGUGGCCAUUAAAAGUUAUCAAAAUCAUGACGCUGCACCCCAAGGUUUAGGUUCUAGGGGGCGCCAAAGAUAACACUAAAAUCCACAUAUUUAAAAGUCUUAUAACUUUUUAUUUUUGUCCUCACUGGCCUCCAAGUUUUCUAGGAUGAUGCAAUGUCCAGCCAGUAACACAUUUGUGAAGGAAUUUUUACUCCCCAAAAGAGCGCCCCCCCAUGGCAGGAGAAAAAAGUCCAUUUUUUCUUGUCCCCUAAGGUGAAAAUACACAUUGUUGACUGUCACGUCUGUACGUUUUGUCAUAUUGACACAAAAAUUGACACACAUAUGUAUCUCAAUAAGAUCUACAAAAAAGUCAGUGCGGGCGUAUCUGUCAAAUGUACGGUUAAAGGGUUAUUUCGCAUUUUUUGCCGAUCCGCACACAUUGGAAUUUCGCUAACUCCUCCGAAGGCUUUCGUUCCACCGGCACCACAUUUGCUCAGGCCAGUCUACACCCCAUGGCCAUUAAAAGUUGUACAAAUCAUGACGCUGCACCCCACGGUUUAGGUUCUAGGGGGCGCCAAAGAUAACCCAAAAAUCCACAUUCUUAAAAGUCUUAUAACUUUUUAUUUUUGUCCUCACUGCCCUCCAAGUUUUCUAGGAUGAUGCAAUGUCCAGCCAUCAACACAUUUGUGAAGGAAUUUUUACUCCCCAAAAGAGCGCCCCCCCAUGGCAGGAGAAAAAAGUCAAUUUUUUCUUGUCCCCUUACAUGAAAAUACACAUUGUUGAGUGUCACGCCUGAACGCUUUGUCAUAUUGACACAAAAAUUGACAAUCAUGUGUAUCUCAAUUAGAUCUACGAAAAAGUCAAAGAGCGCGUAUCUGUAUAAUGUACGGUUAAAGGGCUAUUUCGCAUUUUUUGCCGAUUCGCACACAUUGGAAUGUGGCUAUCUCCUCCUAAGGCUUUCGUCCCACUGAUACCAAAUUUGCUCAGGGCAAUCUACACCCCAUGCCCAUUCAAAGUUGUAAAAAUCAUGACGCUGCACCCCACGGUUUACGUUCUAGGGGGCGCCAAAGAUGACCCAAAAAUCCACAUUCUUAAAAGUCAUUUUGGCCACUGCAGGAGUACAGAGUACUGCAGUUCUAGGGGGCGCCAAAGAUGACCCAAAAAUCCACAUUCUUAAAAGUCUUUUUGGCCACUGCAGGAGUACAGAGUACUGCAGGAUACACACACAUGUACACACACGCACACACACACACACACACACACACACACACACACACACACACACUCAGAGUCUGUUUUUUAGCACCUGCAAAAACAUGCUGUUUACAUAUUUGACAAGAAUGCAGAGGCUUCCUUUUGCCCCUGAAAAAAAUCAAAUUUCAAACACAACUUGACUGGUCAUUUCUCCAAAAGACAACCAUGAAGCUCCAUCCAAACCUGAAGCAGAUAGUUGGUGCAUGUGUACAGUAACCUGAGGGGAGUGAGGUGACUAUUUCUGAGGAGAACAUGAGCAGUGAAGAUUCACCUUGGAGCUAGAACAGGGACGUGCACAUGAUUAUACAGGGGCAGGGGCUCAAGUUUUUUCCAGUCAUUUAUACAAUAUGGAAAUUAAUGUGAAAUUAAAAAACAAAGUAUUAAUAGAAAGGUUAUGACUGUCCUGUGUAGAUGACAGUGAUAUCCAAUAGGCUAGGCACUCACGAGGCUGGCUGUGGCAAGUGUAAGUGAAAGCAACACGCACUGGCAGGAAGAACAGCAAACGCCGAUGAAGGAAAGGGUCUUUGCAGUGAUGGGCGUUACCAGAGAGGACGAUGGCCAGAGGACGCGAAUGGGACGGGGAGGCAGCGCGUUGGGGGGGGCAGCGCGACACGGCUCGGGCCCGCCAGUGCCCCAACGGGGCCCUAGUUAGGGCCCGAGCGUAGCUGCUAAGCAGCUGCGAGAGCCCUCUUGUUCCUGCAUGUUUCCUUCUUUUGUUAUUAUUAGGGCCCGAGCCAGCUGCAGAGCAGCCGGGCGUAGGCCCUAUUAUUCCCCAAGUGGUUUUUCUUUGUUUCUUUCUUUCUUUUUUCUUUUUCCUCCCCUUUGAACUGGAAAAUGGCCCCCUUCCCACUGGCGAAAACUCAUGAAAUUUGGCAGGACGACCGGGCCUGGUGAAAAAUUUGAUAUUCUGAAGUCGCCAAAACAAUAAAAUGCAAAAUGGCUCCAUAGCGCCCCCUAAGGUGAAAAUUCACACUAUUCACUGUCACGACUGUACGCUUUGUCAAAAUGACACAAAAAUUGACACACACAUGUAUCUCAAUAAGAUCUACAAAAAAGUCGGUGCGGGCGUAUCUGUCAAAUGUACGGUUAAAGGGUUAUUACGCAUUUUUUGCCGAUCCGCACACAUUGGAAUUUCGCUAACUCCUCCGAAGGCUUUCGUUCCACCGGCACCACAUUUGCUCAGGCCAAUCUACACCCCGUGGCCAUUAAAAGUUAUCAAAAUCAUGACGCUGCACCCCAAGGUUUAGGUUCUAGGGGGCGCCAAAGAUAACCCUAAAAUCCACAUAUUUAAAAGUCUUAUAACUUUUUAUUUUUGUCCUCACUGGCCUCCAAGUUUUCUAGGAUGAUGCAAUGUCCAGCCAUCAACACAUUUGUGAAGGAAUUUUUACUCCCCAAAAGAGCGCCCCCCCAUGGCAGGAGAAAAAAGUCAAUUUUUUCUUGUCCCCUAAGGUGAAAAUACACAUUGUUGAGUGUCACGCCUAUACGCUUUGUCAAAAUGACACAAAAAUUGACACACACAUGUAACUCAAUAAGAUCUACAAAAAAGUCAAUGCGCGCGUAUCUGUCAAAUGUACAGUUAAAGGGUUAUUCCGCAUUAUUUGCCGACACGCACACAUUGGAAUUUCGCUAACUCCUCCGAAGGCUUUCGUUCCACCGGCACCACAUUUGCUCAAGCCAAUCUACACCCCAUGGCCAUUAAAAGUUAUUCAAAUCAUGAUGCUGCACCCCAUGGUUUAGGUUCUAGGGGGCGCCAAAAAUAACCCAAAAAUCCACAUUCUUAAAUGUUUCAUAACUUUUUAUUUUUGUCCUCACUGGCCUCCAAGUUUUCUAGGAUGAUGCAAUGUCCAGCCAUCAACACAUUUGUGAAGGAAUUUUUACUCCCCAAAAGAGCGCCCCCCCAUGGUAGGAGAAAAAAGUCAAUUUUUUCUUGUCCCCUUACAUGAAAAUACACAUUGUCAAUUUUUGUGUCAAUAUGACAAAGCGUUCAGGCGUGACACUCAACAAUCAUGUGUAUCUCAAUUAGAUCUACGAAAAAGUCAAAGAGCGCGUAUCUGUAUAAUGUACGGUUAAAGGGCUAUUUUGCAUUUUUUGCCGAUUCGCACACAUUGGAAUGUGGCUAUCUCCUCCUAAGGCUUUCGUCCCACCGAUACCAAAUUUGCUCAGGGCAAUCUACACCCCAUGCCCAUUCAAAGUUGUAAAAAUCAUGACGCUGCACCCCACGGUUUACGUUCUAGGGGGCGCCAAAGAUGACCCAAAAAUCCACAUUCUUAAAAGUCAUUUUGGCCACUGCAGGAGUACAGAGUACUGCAGUUCUAGGGGGCGCCAAAGAUGACCCAAAAAUCCACAUUCUUAAAAGUCUUUUUGGCCACUGCAGGAGUACAGAGUACUGCAGGAUACACACACAUAUACACACACGCCAACAUACACACACACACACACACACACACACACACACACACACACACACAGACACACACACACACUCAGAGUCUGUUUUUUAGCACCUGCAAAAACAUGCUGUUUACAUAUUUGACAAGAAUGCAGAGGCUCCUUUUGCCCCUGAAAAAAAUCAAAUUUCAAACACAACUUGACUGUUCAUUUCUCCAAAAGACAACCAUGAAGCUCCAUUUCAAACCUGAAGCAGAUAGUUGGUGCAUGUGUACAGUAACCUGAGGGGAGUGAGGUGACUAUUUCUGAGGAGAACAUGAGCAGUGAAGAUUCACCUUGGAGCUAGAACAGGGACGUGCACAUGAUUAUACAGGGGCAGGGGCUCAAGUUUUUUCCAGUCAUUUAUACAAUAUGGAAAUUAAUGUGAAAUUAAACCACAAAUAUGUGUGAUGAACUGUUUUUAAAACUUAAACUUCAAAUAAAAAUUGUAAACUUCAAAACAUAUGCAAAUUUUUAACAAAGAACAUAAUAAUUUACCUCUAUUUUCAUCAAAAUGCAGGCAAUGGCCCAGGCGUUCUUUGUAAAAUUAUUUACAAAACACUGUAUAGUCUCACAAAUGUCACUUUUUAUUUAUGCCACUACAAAAAAACAUGAUGUAAAUGAUGCAUGAUGUAAAACAUGAUGUAAAAAACUUGUGUAGAUCCUCCUCUAUGUCAGUCCAUGUGUAAUUUUUCCAUAAUUCUUUGUUUUUUGCAGCAUUUUUGUUAGUGUAACUGCAGAUUGUGCUGACAGUGUCUAUGGCACAAAAAAAAAAAAAAUUAAAAUGCCUCAACAUGAACCCCUGGUGGUCUCUGAGGGUGAAACCUGCUAACUGCUGCAGCUCUGUCAGCUUCAGUCUCCCAUGCAGAGCUCUGAGCGCAUGUGUGGCUCUGCACCCUUAGCAGCGUUGCUAACUCCUCAGUAAGGAAAGCCUGCUUCAUGUCAGAGUCUCUAAACUCCAGAAGAAGUCGAUAAAAGUCCCUUUCUUUCUAAAAAAAAGUCGUUAGGGGGUCUGAAAAGUCAUUGAAUCUAACAACAAAGUCGCUAGGUUUGCAACUACGUGUCCCAGACUGCAUCCCUGCUGAGAGUCCCUCCCUCCCUUCUCAUGUUGCAGGAAGAACGUAAGCGCCCGCCCCUUGUCAAUCAGUCACCAUAUAAUUUUGGAUUGGUUGUUGUGGUGAAGUUUUCCACCAAUAGGAGAGAUGUUGUGGUGUGUUUUUUUUUUCUUUUGGCAAGCCUUUUCCGCCUGUAAGACCUGUCGCUAAUGUCUGCAUGCUAUGUUUUCCUGUCUCAUACAGCGCGAUCGAGCGCCGAACGUGAUCAAAAUAAGCAGAAAAAAAGUAUCGCGGACAUAAUUUAUCAUAACUCUGGUUUUAUUUGGCCUAUCAACACAAUUUAAAAACUGGUAUAUAGGUUGAGGUCCUCACUUUUGAGAUAAGUUGAAACGGAGAGUCAACGAGGCUCCGUCUUGCAGCUACAUCCGGUUAAAUAUGUCAUGUGACUUGAACGCACACACAGACACACACACACGCACACACACACACACACACACACACACACACACACACACACACACACACACACACACACACUCAGAGUCUGGUUUUUAGCACCUGCAAAAACAUGCUAUUUACAUAUUUGACAAGAAUGCAGAGGCUCCUUUUGCCCCUGAAAAAAAUCAAAUUUCAAACACAACUUGACUGGUCAUUUCUCCAAAAGACAACCAUGAAGCUCCAUCCAAACCUGAAGCAGGCAGUUGGUGCAUGUGUACAGUAACCUGAGGGGAGUGAGGUGAGUGCUUCUGAGGAGAACAUGAGCAGUGAAGAUUCACUUUGGAGCUAGAACAGAGACAUGCACAUGAUUAUACAGGGGCAGGGGCUCAAGUUUUUUCCAGUCGUUUAUACAAUAUGGAAAUUAAUGUGAAAUUAAAACACAAAGUAUUAAUAGAAAGGUAAUGACUGUCCUGUGUAGGUGACAGUGAUAUCCAAUAGGCUAGGCACUCACGAGGCUGGCUGUGGCAAGUGUAAGUGAAAGCAACACGCACUGGCAGGAAGAACAGCAAACGCCGAUGAAGGAAAAGGGUCUUUGCAGUGAUGGGCGUUACCAGAGAGGGCGAUGGCCAGAGGACACAAAUGGGACGGGGAGGCAGCACGUUGGGGGGGGGGGGGACGCGACACGGCUCGGGCCCGCCAGUGCCCCAACGGGGUCCUAGUGGUUUGUUUUUAGGGCCCGAGCGUAGCUGCUAAGCAGCUGCGAGAGCCCUAUUAUUCCCCAAGUGGUUUUUCUUUGUUUCUUUCUUUCUUCUUUUUCCUCCCCUUUGAACUGGAAAAUGGCCCACUUCCCACUGGCGAAAACUCAUGAAAUUUGGCAGGACGACCGGGCCUGGUGAAAAAUUUGAUAUUCCGAAGUCGCCCAAACAAGAAAAUGCAAAAUGGCUCCAUAGCGCCCCCUAAGGUGAAAAUUCACACUAUUGACUGUCACGCCUGUACGCUUUGUCAAAAUGACACAAAAAUUGACACACACAUGUAUCUCAAUAAGAUCUACAAAAAAGUCAGUGCGGGCGUAUCUGUCAAAUGUACGGUUAAAGGGUUAUUUCGCAUUUUUUGCCGAUCCGCACACAUUGGAAUUUCGCUAACUCCUCCGAAGGCUUUCGUUCCACCGGCACCACAUUUGCUCAGGCCAAUCUACACCCCAUGGCCAUUAAAAGUUAUUCAAAUCAUGACGCUGCACCCCACGGUUUAGGUUCUAGGGGGCGCCAAAGAUAACCCAAAAAUCCACAUUUUUAAAAGUCUUAUAACUUUUUAUUUUUGUCCUCACUGGCCUCCAAGUUUUCUAGGAUGAUGCUAUGUCCAGCCAUCAACACAUUUGUGAAGAAAUUUUUACUCCCUGAAAGAGCGCCCCCCCAUGGCAGGAGAAAAAAGUCCAUUUUUUCUUGUCCCCUAAGGUGAAAAUACACAUUGUUGACUGUCACGCCUGUACGCUUUGGCGAAAUGACACAAAAAUUGACAAUCAUGUGUAUCUCAAUUAGAUCUACGAAAAAGUCAAAGAGCGCGUAUCUGUAUAAUGUACGGUAAAAGGGCUAUUUUGCAUUUUUUGCCGAUUCGCACACAUUGGAAUUUCGCUUACUCCUCCUAAGGCUUUCGUCCCACUGACACCAAAUUUGCUCAGGCCAAUCUACACUCCAUGGCCAUUCAAAGUUGUAAAAAUCAUGACGCUGCACCCCACGGUUUACGUUUUAGGGGGCGCCAAAGAUGACCCAAAAAUCCACAUUUUUAAAAGUCUUAUAACUUUUUAUUUUUGUCCUCACUGGCCUCCAAGUUUUCUAGGAUGAUGCUAUGUCCAGCCAUCAACACAUUUGUGAAGGAAUUUUUACUCCCUGAAAGAGCGCCCCCCCAUGGCAGGAGAAAAAAGUCCAUUUUUUCUUGUCCCCUAAGGUGAAAAUACACAUUGUUGACUGUCACGCCUGUACGCUUUGGCAAAAUGACACAAAAAUUGACAAUCACAUGUAUCUCAAUUAGAUCUAUGAAAAAGUCAAAGAGCGCGUAUCUGUAUAAUGUACGGUAAAAGGGCUAUUUUGCAUUUUUUGCCGAUUCGCACACAUUGGAAUUUCGCUAACUCCUCCUAAGGCUUUCGUCCCACUGACACCAAAUUUGCUCAGGCCAAUCUACACUCCAUGGCCAUUCAAAGUUGUAAAAAUCAUGACGCUGCACCCCACGGUUUACGUUUUAGGGGGCGCCAAAGAUGACCCAAAUAUACAUUACAGUAGACAAAGUAGUUUUGCCCACUGAGUGGCGCCAAAGGGACUUGUCUGUGGAGUCUGUGAGUCACUAUUGGCCGUUUUUGACUACUUUAGAUUUUACCUUUAUAUUUCCUCUUACAAAAUUUUUACCUUGCCUUGCCUGGUAUCAUUUUUUUCAGCACAACCUCACCUGUGUCAAUUUACAGUUAUUUUAUCAUUUUGACAUACUAUAUUUACACAAUGGACCCAAAUUCACACACAAAACAUAAAAUCCGAGUGGAAAAAAGUAACGUUUUUACUGUGAAAACCACAAAUAUGUGUGAUGAACUGUUUUUAAAACUUAAACUUCAAAUAAAAAUUGUAAACUUCAAAACAUAUGCAAAUUUUUAACAAAGAACAUAGUAAUUUACCUCUAUUUACAUCAAAAUGCAGGCAAUGGCCCAGGUGUUCUUUGUAAAAUUAUUUACAAAACACUGUAUAGUCUCACAAAUGUCACUUUUUAUUUAUGCCACUACAAAAAAACAUGAUGUAAAUGAUGCAUGAUGUAAAACAUGAUGUAAAAAACUUGUGUAGAUCCUCCUCUAUGUUAGUCCAUGUGUAAUUUUUCCAUAAUUCUUUGUUUUUUGCAGCAUUUUUGUUAGUGUAACUGCAGAUUGUGCUGACAGUGUCUAUGGCAAAAAAAAAAAAAAAAAAAACUGAAAAUGCCUCAACAUGAACCCCUGGUGGUCUCUGAGGGUGAAACCUGCUAACUGCUGCAGCUCUGUCAGCUUCAGUCUCCCAUGCAGAGCUCGGAGCGCAUGUGUGGCUCUGCACCCUUAGCAGCGUUGCUAACUCCUCAGUAAGGAAAGCCUGCUUCAUGUCAGAGUCUCUAAACUCCAGAAGAAGUCGAUAAAAGUCACUUUCUUUCUAAAAAAAAGUCGUUAGGGGGUCUGAAAAGUCAUUGAAUCUAACAACAAAGUCGCUAGGUUUGCAACUACGUGUCCCAGACUGCAUCCCUGCUGAGAGUCCCUCCCUCCCUUCUCAUAUUGCAGGAAGAACGUAAGUUCCCGCCCCUUGUCAAUCAGUCACCAUAUAAUUUUGGAUUGGUUGUUGUGGUGAAGUUUUCCACCAAUAGGAGAGAUGUUGUGGUGUGUAUUUUUUUUCCUUUGGCAAGCCUUUUCCGCCUGUAAGACCUGUCGCUAAUGUCUGCAUGCUAUGUUUUCCUGUCUCAUACAGCGCGAUCGAGCGCCGAACGUGAUCAAAAUAAGCAGAAAACAAGUAUCGCGGACAUAAUUUAUCAUAACUCUGGUUUUAUUUGGCCUAUCAACACAAUUUAAAAACUGGUAUAUAGGUUGAGGUCCUCACUUUUGAGAUAAAUUGAAACGGAGAGUCAACGAGGCUCCGUCUUGCAGCUACAUCCGGUUAAAUAUGUCAUGUGACUUGAACGCACACACACACACACACACAGACACACACACACACGCACACACACACACUCAGAGUCUGGUUUGUAGCACCUGCAAAAACAUGCUAUUUACAUAUGUGACAAGAAUGCAGAGGCUCCUUUUGCCCCUGAAAAAAAUCAAAUUUCAAACACAACUUGACUGGUCAUUUCUCCAAAAGACAACCAUGAAGCUCCAUCCAAACCUGAAGCAGGCAGUUGGUGCAUGUGUACAGUAACCUGAGGGGAGUGAGGUGAGUGCUUCUGAGGAGAACAUGAGCAGUGAAGAUUUACCUUAGAGCUAGAACAGAGACGUGCACAUGAUUAUACAGGGGCAGGGGCUCAAGUUUUUUCCAGUCGUUUAUACAAUAUGGAAAUUAAUGUGAAAUUAAAACACAAAGUAUUAAUAGAAAGGUAAUGACUGUCCUGUGUAGGUGACAGUGAUAUCCAAUAGGCUAGGCACUCACGAGGCUGGCUGUGGCAAGUGUAAGUGAAAGCAACACGCACUGGCAGGAAGAACAGCAAACGCCGAUGAAGGAAAAGGGUCUUUGCAGUGAUGGGCGUUAACAGAGAGGGCGAUGGCCAGAGGACACAAAUGGGACGGGGAGGCAGCACGUUGGGGGGGGGGGGGGGGGGAGAGACGCGACACGGCUCGGGCCCGCCAGUGCCCCAACGGGGUCCUAGUUAUUAUUUUUCCUCCCCUUUGAACUGGAAAAUGGCCCACUUCCCACUGGCGAAAACUCAUGAAAUUUGGCAGGACGACCGGGCCUGGUGAAAAAUUCGAUAUUCUGAAGUCGCCCAAACAAUAAAAUGCAAAAUGGCUCCAUAGCGCCCCCUAAGGUGAAAAUUCACACUAUUGACUGUCACGCCUUUACGCUUUGGCAAAAUGACACAAAAAUUGACACACACAUGUAUCUCAAUAAGAUCUACGAAAAAGUCAGUGCGGGCGUAUCUGUCAAAAUUACGGUUAAAGGGUUAUUUCGCAUUUUUUGCCGAUCCACACACAUCGGAAUUUCGCUAACUCCUCUGAAGACUUUCGUUCCAUCGGCACAACAUUUGCUCAGGUCAAUCUACACCCCAUGGCCAUUAAAAGUUAUUCAAAUCAUGACGCUGCACCCCACGGUUUAGGUUCUAGGGGGCGCCAAAGAUAACCCUAAAAUCCACAUAUUUAAAAGUCUUAUAACUUUUUAUUUUUGUCCCCACUGGCCUCUAAGUUUUCUAGGAUGAUGCAAUGUCCAGCCAUCAACACAUUUGUGAAGGAAUUUUUACUCCCCAAAAGAGCGCCCCCCCAUGGCAGGAGAAAAAAGUCAAUUUUUUCUUGUCCACUAAGGUGAAAAUACACAUUGUUGAGUGCUUCGCCUGUAUGUUUUGUCAUAUUGACACAAAAUUUGACAAUCACGUGUAUCUCAAUAAGAUCUACGAAAAAGUCAAUGCGCGCGUAUCUGUAAAAUGUACGGUUAAAGGGCAAUUUCGCAUUUUUUGCCGAUCCGCACACAUUGGAAUUUCGCUAACUCCUCCGAAGGCUUUCAUUCCACCGGCAACACAUUUGCUCAGGCCAAUCUACACCCCAUGGCCAUUAAAAGUUAUUCAAAUCAUGAAGCUGCACCCCACGGUUUAGGUUCUAGGGGGCGCCAAAAAUAACCCUAAAAUCCACAUAUUUAAAAGUCUUAUAACUUUUUAUUUUUGUCCUCACUGGCCUCCAAGUUUUCUAGGAUGAUGCAAUGUCCAGCCAUCAACACAUCUGUGAAGGAAUUUUUACUCCCCAAAAGAGCGCCCCCCCAUGGCAGGAGAAAAAAGUCCAUUUUUUCUUGUCCCCUAAGGUGAAAAUACACAUUGUUGAGUGUCACGCCUGUAUGCUUUGGCAAAAUGACACAAAAAUUGACACACACAUGUAUCUCAAUAAGAUCUACAAAAAAGUCUAUGCGCGCGUAUCUGUCAAAUGUACGGUUAAAGGGUUAUUCCGCAUUUUUUGGCCAAUACGCACACAUUGGAAUUUCGCUAACUCCUCCGAAGGCUUUCGUUCCACCGGCACCACAUUUGCUCAGGCCAAUCUACACCCCAUGGCCAUUAAAAGUUAUUCAAAUUAUGAUGCUGCACCCCACGGUCUAGGUUCUAGGGGGCGCCAAAUAUAACC